rnacentral:lncRNA from 1 species
GCUAUUUGACAAAACGAGUAAAACCUGCAGAAGUUUAUUUGAAAUGAAGGAGAUGUUCUUGUUCGACAUAGUGAAAUUAGAUAAAUACCAUAAAAUAGAGAAGCUGUCCAUAAAAGGUACUUACUGGUCAUAUAAUUUAACAAGAGACUGUGGCCUUGAAUAACCGUCAUCCUUUUUUUCAGUUUUUAAUAUGAAUUCACUUCUUGGUUCUGUUUGCUCUUCUUCACUAUUUACUGCUUUCGGUUUCCCUGUAUUCCUUGAUUCAGGUUUCCAAUUCGCUUUGAUAAGAGAUUGACUUAGUAAGUGAGCAAUGUUUGAAGCCAUUGCCUCAGCUUUCUUAACAAAUGGAAAUUUUUCCUCAUCAAAGUGGUUUGAUAACCACAAAUAUGAAGAUAAAACUUGAUGCCUACUCUCAAGGUCUAGGAGUUCUGAAUCGUUCCGCGCCGAACAUUUUGGCAUCCCCAUAGCUAUACUUACAGGUACCUUCUGACCAAACGCUGCAGCGAAUUUGAGCAAGUGGUACAUAGCUUUUGGAUCCCUAACAUUAACAGGUGCAAAACAGAAGUUAAAACGAUCAUCUAAUGAUAAUCCUUGGAUCCUCUCUAACAUAUUAGCGAUUUUCUUUAUGUGAUCAUGUCGACACAAGAAGUACGACCCGUCCAAACGACAAUUUUCGCCAAAUUUUUCUAAAAGCUGGCUGAAUGUCAAGUUAGAAAACUGUCCGGCAAACAAUUCUACCUGCUCAUAAAAAGGAAAAAGGCCAGCCCUUGUCACGUGAUCAAAGGGUUGUUUCAAACACUCAAUCAAGUAAUCCAAAUCAUCUAAAUGUAAGGUAGUUGCAAGUCCAUCGGGAUAAAGGCAUCCUCUUCGACCAGCUCUCCCUGCAAUCUGCUUAACCUGUGAAGCUGGAACAGGAAGAAUUUUGUCACCGUUGUACUUUGAAAGUUUAUUAAAAAUCACCCUUCGAAUGUUAAGGUUCAGGCCCAUCCCCACUGCAUCACUAGCCACUAGAACGUCGUAUUCAUUACUCUGAUCGUUGAACAAACUAGCUUGCUGUCUACGAGUUUCUGGUGGCAAAGCUCCGUAGAUAACACAACAUCGGUGAUUAGUGUUUUUCUCGAUGGCUAAUUUAACCUCAAAUAUCUCUCUCCUUGAGAAUGCAACAACACAAUCACCAGACCGAAUAUUUUCAAGAUUUCCAAGCAGAGUCUUUGCCUCAACCACCAAAGGUUUGAACCUCUCAUAAUGGUGCUCACACAACUCAUCUCCUGUAUCCUCACAUAUCUUUCGAACAAUAUCCAGAACACUAGGAUCACCGCAUAAAUGUAUCUCGUCAGCCUUCAAACCAAGCAGCGCCCUAGUCCAUGCAUACCCUCUAUAAGGAUCCGCCAUCAUCUGAAUCUCAUCAACAAUAGCAACUUCAUACAAUUCCUGUGUCGAAGCCAUUUCCACAGUACACGCAACAUGAUUUGCAAAUGGUACAUGCUUCUUCUCUUGACCAGUUAACAAACUACAAUAAACACCCUUCGCAUUAACCUUAUCGAAAACCUCCAUAGCCAACAAUCUAAGUGGACUACAAUAAAUCCCCUUCUUUGCCUCCAUAAACCUUUGAAAAGCAUUAUAAGUUUUACCACUAUUAGUAGGACCACAAUGAUAAAUUUCAUCGCCCUCGCAAAAGGAAACCAAGUGUGAGGUUUCGUGAGGUCAGCUGACUUAACCAUAUCCCUAAACCUCUUAAUUUCAUCAGGAAAAUUAACCAAACAAAACUCAACAAAUACCGGAAACAAAAACCUCACAGCAACAUCACACGGUCCGAGUGAAAUCAAGUACUUGGCAACAUCAGCAGAACAUCUCUUCCUGAAAAAGUUCCGAAACUUGUGCGCGGCCGUCGGAAAAAAACGAUAAACCAAUGUAAAUAGCAAGUGCUUGGUUUGACGCCCAGCCCGAUUUCGCAAAAUAAUCGAACACAUCUGUUAAAACAUCCACCUCAGCUCUAGCCAACUUAACACCCUUUUCAACACUCUUAAGCUCACCAUAUAAUUCAACAGGAUCUUCCGACGCCACAUGAGUAAAAUCCUCUAAUUCAUCAUCAUCCCUAUUAUCAUUACUAGUACAACUAAUACUACUAUUACUACAUUCUACAGAAUCAACAAUAUUUGAAUAACAUUCAUCAUUACCAUAAUCUAAAACAACCCCAUUUUCUGAUAAAUCACAAACAUCAUCACUAACCUUAGUUCCAACCUCAAAAUUACCAAUACCCUUUUCGAAUUGCGAAUCCUCGUCAGUCGCAGCACCACCAUCCUCGCCGGCGGUGAAAAAGGGUCCUCGCAGCACCACCAUCGUUUCCUAGUUGAACUAGUCGAAUCAAUCUGCCCAAUUCAAUUUUUAAAACAUUGAUUAAGAGGAGAUAUAAAGCUAAUUUUAUGGAUGAAGUGAGAGAGGUAGGAAGUGAAGUCAUAAGAAAUAAUUAGGAUUUGAUGUCACUCCAACAUAAUAUUAACAAAUUUAUCAUACUCAUAUUAAUUAUUCCACAUUUUAGUAUUAAUCAAAAAAAUAAAGUGAAAUUAGUUUUUUUAACCCCUUUGAUUUUUUUAAUGUGUUCAAAUUGAUCCAUUAAUUAAUUUUAGAUUAGAAUUACUGUGAUAGGUUAACAAAACUGGCCCAUUAAGGUUUGUGUUCAAAAUGAACAAAAAAAAAACAAAAUGAAAGUCUAUGUUUCUUUUUUAUUAGUGAAAAUGAUGAAGUCUAUGUUUCUUUUUUAUUGUUUGAGUCUCUUUAUGAGUUAGUGUGACCAUGGAGUCUAUAAUAUGUGUGGACAAAUAAUGUGUGUCUCUGUUUCUUUUUUAUUGUUUGAGUCAUGUGUUGAGUCAUGUUUAUGGGUUAUUAUGCAUGGGUGUCAUGUAAGCAUAUGUGAUUAGUUAUAAAUAUAAUGUUAAAUAUUGUGUGUAAACUUGUCUGGUAAGCCUAAGAGUUCACUGAGAUAUUUCAAAUUUCUUGUGUUCUGUUCUUAUCGUUUUACUGCAUCAAAUUCUACACAUAAUUGUUCAUUCAUUUUGUUCUUGCUUUUAAAAGCUCAAUAUUUGUUAAUUAACUUUAAAUCAUUUCUUUGAUUACUAAGAAAGAUGAAUAAUCAUUUGAUUUGUGGUAAUUUCUGAAGAUUAGCCCAUCAAAUAGACAUUUUCUAGAUUUGCCUUCACUGAAAUUUCUUUACCUUAGAACAGGACUUACUUGGAAAUUUCUUUAACUCAGUGUAAAAUGUUUUGAAAAUCUCAGUGUAAAUUGUUUUGUUAAAUUGACAUUAAUUAUGAAUGAGUUUGGUUGUGUAAUAUAAGUCUAAGAGUUCAUUUACUAAAUAUUUUUAAUUUAACAUAACCUUUUUUUAUAUGUAUUUAAGUCAUUAGUCAAAAUAGCUUAUCUGGUAAUGCAUAUUCAAAUCAAAAAAGUAAAACACCUCAUGUUUGUGAUUUUCUGUAUUUAUAAAGCAAUAAUUUUUAAAACACAAUUCACUUGACUCUACAUUUUUAAUUUAACAUAGUUUUUUUAUAUAUUUACAAAACUGCCAUUAAUGAAAAUAGUUAUUUCACUGUGUUUUUUUUGGAAUGCAUAUUCAAAUAAAAAAAGUAAAACACCUAAAUAGUGUUUGUGAUUUUCUAUAUUUUAAAAAGGAAACAGAGCAAUAAUUUUUAAAACAACAAUUCACUAACUCUACAUUUUUAAUUUAACAUAGUUUUUUAUAUAUAUUAUGAAACUGCCAUUAAUGAAAACAGUUAGUUUAAUUGAAUAUAUAUUUAAUUAAUUUAUAGUAAAAAUAGUGAUUAAUUAUAAUUUUAAAUAUUAUUUAAAUUAAUAAUUUAUUUAAUUGAAUUAAUUAUAAUUUUGUAAGUGAUUAAUUAGAAAUAGAAAAAAUUGGGUGUCUGUAGUUUUUAUUUAUCAAAAUAAUAUUACUCACUCUUUUCGAUUAUUAAUUAGUAUUAUCAUAUUAUAUUUUAAAUUAUUUGAUGUUAAUUAACUUUUCAAGAGAACAACAUUUAAUGUAGGUAAGAUAGUCUAACACCAAUGUAUAUUUUUUACUAUUUGAUCAAUAAAUUUUAUUAUAUUUCAUUUCAUCUUAAAUAACAUGUAACUUAGAGUUAACAUUUUCUUGCUGAAAACUAAGGAAAAUCACUAAUAUGAGUUACAAAAGUAAAGUGGACAAAAAAUGAAACGAAAAAAAAAAUAAAAAAUUAAAUGGUCACUAAUAUGAGUUACAUUUUGUUGCUGAAAUAAGUCACACUGGUCUCUCUACCUUCCUUCACGCGGAAAUGACCCGUAUCAUCAUUACCAGUACCAUAUAUUUAAUCAUUACCGUAUCAUUACCCGUAGCAUAUAUUUAAUCAUUUCCCGUAUCAUCAUUUUUAUUCUUAUCUAGAAAUGACCUAAUAACCCCGUAUAUACUUUGAGAUUUUUAGUUUCAUAAUUUAGGGGAUUUGUCUCCUUCAUAAUUUACUAAUUUCAAUUUUUAAUGGAAAAAUCAAUUAUUUUUCCAUUAAAAAUAAUUGACAUUAAUUAUAUUUAUAUUAAAUUGACAUUAAUUAUGAAUGAGUUUGGUUGUGUAAUAUAAGUCUAAGAGUUCAUUUACUAAAUAUUUUUAAUUUAACAUAACCUUUUUUUAUAUGUAUUUAUGUCAUUAGUCAAAAUAGCUUCUCUGGGAAUGCAUAUUCAAAUCAAAAAAGUAAAACACCUCAUGUUUGUGAUUUUCUGUAUUUAUAAAUCAAUAAUUUUUAAAACACAAUUCACUUGACUCUACAUUUUUAAUUUAACAUAGUUUUUUUUAUAUAUUUACAAAACUGCCAUUAAUGAAAAUAGUUAUUUCACUGUGUUUUUUUUGGAAUGCAUAUUCAAAUAAAAAAAAGUAAAACACCUAAAUAGUGUUUGUGAUUUUCUAUAUUUUAAAAAGGAAACAGAGCAAUAAUUUUUAAAACAACAAUUCACUAACUCUACAUUUUUAAUUUAACAUAGUUUUUUUUUAUGUAUUUACAAAACUACCAUUAAUGAAAACAGUUACGUGUGUGUGUGUUUUUUUUUUUUUUUUUCGGAAUACAUGUUCAAAUCAAAAAAGUAACACACCUAGAUAGUGUUUGUAAUUUUCUGUAUUUGAAAAAAGAAAUAGAGUAAUAAUUUUUAAAACAAAUUCACUGACUCUACAUUUUUAAUUUAACAUAGCUUUUUUAUAUAUAUUAUGAAACUAUCAUUAAUGAAAACAGUUAGUUUAGUUGAAUAUAUAUUUAAUUAAUUUAUAGUAAAAAUAGUGAUUAAUUAUAAUUUUAAAUAUUAUUUAAAUUAAUAAUUUAUUUAGUUGAAUUAAUUAUAAUUUUGUACAUGAUUAAUUAGAAAUAGAAAAAAUUGGGUGUCUGUAGUUUUUAUUUAUCAAAAUAAUAUUACUCACUCUUUUCGAUUAUUAAUUAGUAUUAUCAUAUUAUAUUUUACAUUGUUUGAUGUUAAUUAACUUAUACAAAAGUUGUUGAAUAUAAAUAAAAUAUACACAUAAGAUAUGCAUGAUAACUCAUUAUGCAUGAUAUAAGGAGUUGUUGAGUAUAUGUAAAAUAUGAGUGAAGAUGCAUAAAUUAUGUGUGAGUAUUUAAAAAAAAUGUAUGAUACAUGCAAUGAAGAUAAAUUCCUUUUUAUUUAUUUUAUUAUUUUUUAGUUUCCCCGAUCCUUAUGUGACUUUAUACACUUAUAAGAUUCAAUGGAUCAACGACGAUAACAAUCGUUCUUUACAUGAUGACUCUAGUAUAUCUUGUGUAAUCACUUUUUCUUGAGGUCAAUCAAAUGUGCAUUAUUUAAAAUGCUUACCCUUCAUUUUUUAUACAUCCAAUAUCUUGCGUUCCCGUGUAUAUAUUUUCAAGCGUCAAAAUAUUUAAGAUAUUUUUUUUAUUUCAUAUAUUUCAAAUUCCCAUAUUUAUUAUCAUAAAAUAACAUUUUUUUUUUAAAAAAAAAAACGUUAGAACAAACAACAAUGAGACUAAAUUUGUUUAGAAAGAGGGUAAGGCACAACAUCGAACAAUGAUAUUGGAAAAUGUACAUUCAUUGCAAAUGAGACAUGAGUUACAAUGUGGGGAGCGUGUUUAGCUUUAGUUGGAGAGACAACAAACGCUAGUCAUUCUUGUAAUUUAGAACUUCUAAGAAUAAUAACUGCCCCAACUUGAAAUGCUUGAUUCUUUUGUUAUCCCAUGAUUUCUCUUAUAAAGCACAUCACCAUUCAAGAAGAAAUUCAUUGACAAUCUCCUUAAAACCCUUUUGUCGUUCUCUGAAAUACCCAAUGGAUAUUCCUUAUUCUUAACAUAUGAUUUGAUGUCAUAAAACCACGGCUUGCCAUCCAACUCUUCUUCUAUUGAUAAGCAAUAUGCAGGUUUAUCUCUUUGUUGAAUCUUUAUGACCGGCACGUCUUGAUUAGUGGUUAUUUUGAACAUUGACGACAAAGUGGCCAAGGCGUCAGCUAACUGGUUUUCUUCUCGAGGGAUAUGGUGAAAAGUAAUCUUCUCAAAUUGUUCUGUCAAUUCUUUGAUAUGGGUGUGAUACGGAAUCAAUUUAGAAUCUCGCGUUUCCCAAUCUCCUUUCGUCUGAUGGAUGACCAACAAUGAGUCUCCAUAUACCUCAAGAAAUUUUACAUUUGAUUCAAUAGCCGCUUUAAUGCCCAUAACACAUGCUUCAUAUUCAGCAAUAUUGUUUGUACAAUCAAAACACAACCUAGCCGUAAAUGGAGUGAACUGGUUUUCUGGAGAAAUCAAAAUGGCUCCAAUUCCAUGCCCUAACGCAUUAGAAGCACCAUCAAACACCAACCUCCACUUUUCUUUAUCAGAUGAUUCAAUCUCUUCAACUAAAUUCAUUAUGUCUUCAUCGGGGAAUUCACACUGCAUUGAUUGAUAAUCUUCUACCGGUUGAUGGGCUAAGUACUCUGCUAGUGCGCUUCCUUUGAUGGAUUUUUGUGUAACAUAUACCAAAUCGUAUUCUGAUAACAACAUCUGCCAACGGGCGAUCCUUCCAGUAAGAGCAGGUUUCUCAAAGAUGUACUUAAUUGGGUCCAUUUUAGACACCAACCAAGUUGUAUGACAUAACAUGUAUUGUCUCAACCGACGAGCAGCCCAUGCCAAUGCGCAACAUGUUCGUUCAAGUAGUGAAUAUCUUGUUUCACAACUGGUGAACUUUUUGCUCAAAUAAUAAAUAGCAUGUUCUUUCCUACCAGAUUCAUCAUGCUGCCCCAGUACGCAGCCCAUUGACUCGUCAAGUACUGUUAAGUACAUAAUAAGUGGUUUCCCAGGAACAGGGGGCACUAGGAUGGGAGGUUUUGAUAAGUACUGCUUAAUCUUUUCGAAAGCUUUUUGACAAUUCUCAUUCCAUUCAACCUUUUGGUCUUUGCGCAACAAUUUGAAAAUCGGCUCGCAUGUAGCGGUGAGGUGCGAUAUAAACCUUGCAAUGUAAUUCAAUCUACCCAAAAAGCCACGAACUUCUUUUUCAGUGCGUGGAGCCGGCAUUUCUUGUAUUGCUCUUACUUUAUCUGGGUCCACCUCUAUCCCUUUUUGACUAACGAUAAACCCAAGUAAUUUGCCUGAUCUUACACCAAAUGUGCAUUUAGCAGGGUUUAAACGAAGUUUGAACUUCCUUAGUCGCUCAAAUAACUUUUGAAGGUUAACAACAUGGUCUUCUUCAGUUCGAGAUUUUGCGAUCAUAUCAUCCACGUAAACCUCUAUUUCCUUAUGCAUCAUGUCAUGAAACAAGGUUACCAUUGCUCUUUGAUAGGUUGCCCCGGCAUUCUUCAAUCCAAAUGGCAUCACUUUAUAGCAGAAAGUCCCCCAUUGUGUGAUGAACGUAGUUUUUUCCAUAUCUUCGGGAGCCAUCUUGAUUUGAUUGUACCCUGAGAAACCAUCCAUGAAGGAGAAAAGAGAGUAUUGAGCAGUGCUAUCCACUAGGACAUCAAUAUGAGGUAGAGGAAAAUCAUCUUUAGGACUAGCUUUAUUUAAAUCCCGAUAAUCAACGCACAUUCGAACCUUUCCAUCUUUCUUUGGAACUGGUACAAUAUUAGCCACCCAUUGAGGAUAUUUUGCUACUGCUAAGAAACCAGCAUCAAAUUGCUUCUUGACCUCUUCUCUAAUUUUAAGCGACAUAUCAGGUCUCAUCCUUCUCAACUUCUGUUUAAUUGGAGUGUAUUCAGGUUUUAGUGGUAGCUUGUGUUCAACUAUGUUAGUAUCUAACCCGGGCAUAUCCUGAUAUGACCAUGCAAAGACAUCCACAUAAUCAAUUAAAAGUUUAACCAACUUUUCUCGCUCACUUUCUUUCAUAGACAUACCAACUUUAACUUCUUUUUUAUCAUGCCCAGUCCCUAAAUUGAUCGCCUCAACAGGUUCUUGAUAGGGUUGGAUUAUCUUAGCUUCCCGUUCAAUUAAGCUUUCUAGUUCUGGGGGAAGCUCACAAUCGUCUUCACAAUCCUCAUCGGCAUGAUUAAUCAGACGUUCAAAGUUACAAGAAAUGGUUCUAGCGCUGUUAUUUUCAACAUAUUCAUUUUCGACUCUGCAUUGUUUAAAAGAAAAAAAGAAAAAAAUAUAUAUAUGAAUAAAGAUUGCCAAAAGAAAGAGAAAAGAGAGAAAAAAAACAAAACAAAACAAAACCAGUUGGAGAAUUCAAAAAUGCAUUUAUUGAUAAUAAGUACGGAAUUGAAAUACAUAUGCCCUAAUUAGUUAUCCUUAUAGCCUUGGGCAGAGCAAAAGGAGUUAAAAAUACAUAAUUACUUUGAACAUGAAUUAACAAACACGGGAAACUCGAUGAUCUUCCAAUUGUUGAGAUUGGUGUUUGGAGGACAAGGGUACACUAGCUUGAGGGUAUCAUCAUCACCAUGAUCCUCUUCCGCAACAGCCACCUGAUCAGCAUAUAUUAUUCCGGCGCUUUGAAAAUUUUGACGAAUGUCACAAAUAGGAAUCUUCUGUGAAUUCGGUAUCCAGUUUUCUCGACGAGUCACCUUGUUUUCUCUUUUUUCCUUCGCAGCCUUUUCUUCAUCAGCUUGAGUAGGUACAUAUCCCAACCCGUACCUAUUGUUCUUUUCUGGUAUUUCUAUCAACUUCCCCAAAUUGAGAAAAACUCCUCCUUCUAACAUGGAUUUGGUAGACUUCAAUGAUAUGGUAGAUUGUUUUGGUUCUUUUAAACGAUAUCCUUCACCCAUGAAGACAACAUUGGCAAUUUCUAAUGCUUGAAAGAAAGUCUCUAUGGCUUCCUCCGUGUCUUCAAUGUAGCCUGUAGAAGAUAAAUGACUUACUAUCAUAUCUUCUUCCCCAUAUAUUAUUACCAGCUUAUUGUUCACUGUAAACUUUAGCUUUUGAUGGAGAGUGGAUGUCACUGCUCCAGCAGCAUGAAUCCAUGGUCUCCCUAAAAGACAACUGUACGCCGGUUUAAUAUCCAUUACUUGGAAGGUUAUCCCAAAGAUGUGGGGUCCGAUUUGAAUUGGCAGGUCAAUCUCACCAAUCACUUGUCUUCUAGAUCCAUCAAACGCUUUCACCACCAAAGCACUAGGCUUCAAACAGGCUCCCUCAACAAAUAGCUUUGACAGUGUUGAUUUAGGCAUGACAUUUAAUGAUGAACCAUUAUCUACUAGCACUCGUGCAAGAAUGUGAUCGUGACACCUCAUAGAGAUGUGCAGUGCCUUAUUAUGCUCUGUCCCUUCAGCUGGUAAUUCAUUAUCACUAAAACUCAGGCAACUACUAGCAGUGAUGUUACCGACAACUCCAUCAAACUGAUCGACAGUGAUAUCGUGAGUAACAUGGGCUUCGUUUAGAACUUUCAUCAGUGCCCUUCUAUGUGCUUCAGAAUUCAAUAACAAGGAGAGAACUGAUAUCUUGGAAGGGGUCUGAUUUAGCUGAUCCACCACCUUAUAUUCACUUUGCUUGACAAACUUCAAAAAUUCACUAGCUUCUUCUUCAGACACCGUCUUUUUACUGAUCUCUUGUCCUUUUAUGGUAUGAUACAUAUCUUCUUUUCCUUUUUCUCCAUUAACCUCUUUUUUCCUAAGUUGCUCAGGAGUGUAUACUCGACCACUCCGAGUCAUUCCACCAAUCCCUGAGAUGUUAGUGACCUCAGUUCCUUUAGGUUCACAAUCAUCACUUGGUUGAUGAUCUGCCAAGUGGGAUGUGACUUCGUAUUUCCACGGUACUGCCUUGGUAUUUCCAUAAGGAAACGGGAUUGGUGUUUGGACAAUUAUUGCAUUUGGCUUGUUAUGAGUUGACUUAAGAUUCUCUUUUUUGUAAAGAAUUUCCAAUGGUUUUGGGAAAGAUAUAUUAUUUUCCACACACGACCCCAUGGUGAACACAUGACCAUCUACUGCAUGUUGGUCUAUCCCAUCUUCAAUGAAAUUCACAGAGGCGUUCCCGUGACCUGGCAAAGGAUUGCUCCCUAUGUUGGGAUUGUCCUCCUUGAAGGUAAGCCAUUUUGCAUUAAUCAAUUCUUGCACUUUAGAUUUUAGGGCUUGACAAUCUUCAAUGGAAUGCCCAACGGCUCCUGCAUGAUAUUCACAUUUGGCAUUUGGAUUAUACCAUUUUGGAAAUGGUGGUUCAAGAGGUUUCAUUGGUCUUAUGACUACCAUUGAAUUUUGAAGUAAAUGGGGCAACAAUUGGCUAUACGUGACGGGAAUUGGAUCAAAACGAGUUAUCCUUUUUUCUCGAUUGACAGGUGGUCUGUAGUGAUUUGAGCUUGGGUAUUGAUUUUGUGGGGAAAAUGCGGUAGGUGGUGGUUGAUAAAAAGGUGGUCUUGAAGGGGGAUAUUGGGGGAAUGAAGCUUGUGUGGUUGCGGCCACAUAUGGAUAAGGGGUGUAAGGAUUUUGUGGUAUCGGGGGCUGGAAAAUUGGGGGUCGAUAAGAAUUGAUGGGUGGAAAAUAAGAGAUUCUGGGGUUUACCAUUACAGCGUUAGUGUCUCCUUCUUUCUUUUUUGUGAAUGUCGUCUGGGGUCGUUUCACGCUAGUUGCUGCACAUACGAUCUUGCCACUCCUCAUCCCACUUUCUAUCCUUUCUCCUAUCAUGACAAGGUCAGAAAAGUUUGAUGACAUACUCCCAAUCAUCUUGUCAUAAAAAGGCGACUGGAGAGUAUCCAUAAACAUACCAACCAUUUCUCUUUCAGAUAAUGAGGGUUCUACUUGUGAGGCCAUUUCCCUCCACCGUUGUGCGUAUUCUUUGAAAGCUUCGUUGUCCUUUUUCAGUGAAUUUUGCAAUUGCAUCCUAUCAGGGGCCAUGUCAACGUUGUACCUGUAUUGCUUCAAAAAGGCAUCAGCUAGGUCCUUCCAUGAACGAAUUUGAUUUCGCUCAAGAUGCAUAUACCAACUUAACGAUGCCCCACUCAAACUGUCUUGGAAGAAGUGAAUGAGAAGUUUAUCGUUAUGAGCAUGAGAUGCCAUUUUUCUGCAAUACAUAGUUAGAUGAUUUUUAGGACAUGUGUUGCCCUUGUAUUUUUCAAAGUCAGGAACCUUGAAUUUGGCAGGGAUAGUCACAUCAGGAACCAAACACAUAUCGAAAGCUUCAAGGCCAUAAACAUUAUACCCCUCAAUAGCUUUUAUUCGCUCUUCCAAGACAUGGAAUUUUUCCUUUGAUUGUGUAUCAUCCCCAAUGUGAGGUUGAUGCCAAUUUCCAUUAGUAUCGAAAUGGGGUACUUGGGGUGCAAUAUAUGGAAUAUUUUCUGAGGGUUGAGUGUUUUGGGGGUUUAAGUGGUUUGGGUUGUUUUCCAUGGGGUUGACGACUAAGGGUGGAGUAUAACCGGGUGGAAGACCGUACAUAGGAAAUUGUAUAGUUGUUGUACGAGGUUGCUGGGUAGUCGGGGUAAAGCCUGGUGGGUGAGAAGGAGUGGUUUGGUGUUCUUCAUUUGCAACCAGAGGAUUCUCAUCAGUAUUCCCCUUCCUUGACAAAGCUUGUAUAGCUUCUAAGAUUUGAUCAACCUUGUCCUUCAAUUGGUUGACAUCCAUUCUCAUCACCUCUUGAUUUUGCUCAAGUUCUUCCAUGAUCUUCGAGUUUGCACGAGUCCGAUAAGGGUGUCGGGGAAACAACUUUAUUGAUUUUUUCUGUGUUUUUUUAAAUAAAAAAUAAAAAAAAAUUAUUAUGAGUAUGCAUUAAACAUGAAUGGAAUGAAAAUGCAAUUAUUUUUUUAUUUUUUUUUUAUGUUGGGGAAUCAUAAGUCUUGCACGAAUUAUUAAUGAAAGAAGAAUAUGAGAAUCGAUAAACAAAAUAGCAAAUCCUUCAUUGAUGAGAAAAAAGUACAUUGCAUUUAAAUUAAAAAGCUACAUCGACUAUUGUAUUUCAAUCAUCUUUUUCAAGAGGACAACCAAUCUUCUCCUCCAAUUCUUCUACUAAAUGUUUGCAAUAUUCGACGAACUUGUAGACUUUGAUUGGAGUGUUGAGUGGAUGCAUUACUGCAUCAACCUCUCUUAGAUGUUUUGGAAUUUUUAUGAUUGCCUGAUUAGCUAGAAUUGCCAAUUUCGAAAAGCAAUCUUUCCAAUGCUUGCCUUUAUCUUCCAAUUCUUUAUAAAUCUCUUGGUUCUUCAAUUGCCCAAGCAACACCAUGAAACGCUCCUCCCAGUAUAUGGUUUCAUCCUUCAAGUCAUUGUAGAUCUUUUCUUGAUAAUCAAUGUAAUUCUUCAACUCACUAGAAGCUUCCAUUUCUGCUUUUAGUGCAUCUUGGUGUUUUGAGAGUAAUUCUUCGAUUUCUUUCUUUUGUUGCCUCUCAUUCCUUGCUUGAUUCUCAUAUUGAUCUACCAUUUCUUUCAGUUGUUUCUUUAAAUCUUCAAAUUCCUUUUUUAUGUUCUUCUCAGAGCUUGCUGAUUUUGUCCACAAUUGCUUCCACAUAUAGGCUUCUUCAAUAGCUGCAUUCCUUUCUUGCCUUCGCACAUCUAACUCUUCAUUUGCGCCUCUUAAACAAUCUUGUAUGUCAAGUUUAUUUCCUUUUUCAACUUUCAGCCUCUUGUUGUUUCUCUCGAUAAACUGACUCUUACAAGUGUUUUCUGAUCUUAAGUUGUCGUUCUCUUGAGAGACUUUUUCUAAUCUCGCUUGUAGCUCUUUUUUCUCUUCUUCAGAUUUUAGCAAUGAUGCUUUGAGUUCUUCUAUCUCUUCAUUUGCAACAAGGAUAGGUUCAGGCAUUUCCUGACUAUUUGAGGCUGUAUUGUGGAAAGGCAGCUUGAUUUCUUGGACUCUUUUCUUUACCCAUUGUUGAUAGGGUUCUUUUGUGCUGCAACUUCUACAUCCGAGUAUUUUUCCUUUUCUGAUGAUCAACUCCCAAGCUCGACUUACCCUUCUCAACAUUGGUGGGUCUACUAUACCCGUAUUGUGCAAAACAAAAGCCUCCAAUGACUUAUCAUCUGGUUUAUCCAACAUGGGGUAGCCGAGUUGUCUCAGAGCUAUCAUUGGAUUGUAAUUAAUACAUCCUUUCGUUCCCAUGAGAGGUACAUUUGGAAAAUCUCCGCAUCGGCAUAUUACCUCUUCCACCCCUUGUUCUCUAUAGUACCAUGAAAUUUUAUCUCCAGUAAGGCUAGCUAUACUCUGAGCCCAAUCACGAUUGCUCUUGACCCCAACAUGAUACCCUUUCUUGAACAUGUGAGACACAAACCAAGUAUACAGCACUGGAACACAACAUAAAAUUGUUCCCCCUUUCUUCUCGUGUCGCAUAUGCAUAGAGUAGUAUACAUCAGCAAGAACCGCAGGAACUGGGUUUUGUUUAUGUUUGUUAAAAGCUAAGAAUACAUUUAUGGCAGCAAAAUCUACAAAGUUAUCAAGGUUUGGAAAUAUAACAAUACCGUAGAUAAUGAGGGCCAAAACAUCUAUAAAAGUACUCCAUUCUUUUUUAUCAGCUAAAUCUUGGCACUUUUGCUCUAGAUAUUUUCUUGAAAACCCAUGAAUAGCCCCUUUUUCCUCUUUUGUACUUGCCAACUCUCUUAUGUCGAUCUUCAACACUUCAGCAAUUGUGUCCAACUUCGGUGGUUGCCCAGUAUAUCGAUAAGGAUUUCCUCUUUCUAGGGAGUAACCCAGUAUUCGCUCAAAUUCCUCUAAUGUCGGGGCCAACUGAAAGUCUUGGAAAGUGAAACAUCUUAAGAGAGGAUCGUAAUACUGAGCCAAUGCUGUGAGGGCCCCUGUUUGCACAUUCACUGCCAAGAGAUUUAGAAUUUUCCCAUAUUUGUGAACGAAACUCUCACGUUGUAUAGUUUUCAUCUGACUGCUGAUGUCUUUUAAACUCUUCAAAUCAGGUUGCUUGAACUUUAAAAGUAAAGUUUUUCUUUUUUCUGAUCCCAUUGUCCACUUAAAUAACACGUGACUACAGUUUGUAUGAUUCCCCAAAAAUCCUGAAAAUUUAUGCAAAAUGCUAUUAUGUUUUAUUUUUCCUUAGAAAGAGAGAAAAAAAAAAUGUCAUGACAUAUGAAUGAAACUAAUAUAUAUUUAUAAUGUCUUGAAUAUAUGAGAUAAUUUUUUUGGUUUUAAUAGAUAUUCUUUCAAUGAAAGGAUCUAUUGGCUUAUGUAGUGAAACUCUCACAAGGGAGGCUCUAUGGUUCUAAACACGGUUCCUAGAGCCAAUAAUCCUAUUUUAGAAUAUUGUCAACAACAAUAGGUAAACUAUUUGAAGUGACAAUAACCUCAAUAGGAUCAAACUCUAGGUGAGAUCUUCAUGCUAACCAAACAGGAUGUACAUCCAGAAGGCUACCACUACGCGAUCUCGAAACUAAACUUAAGUUUUGUUCAAACCCGGGUAUAAGGUUCCACUCAUAAGUGUGUGUUUUUAGUAAAAGUGUAUGUGCUAAAUAAGCAUAAUUCAAUAACUCCAUAAUAUUAACAAAAUAUAUAUACAUAUACUAAAUAAAUAAAUAACAUAAAAUAAAAAAUAAUCUACUAGCCUAAAAGAAUAUUAUAAUGUCAACUAAUACUUAUUAAGAAAUAAAAACACAUAAAUAAAAUGAAAAUGAAAAACAAACAAAUAUAGAAAAAAGUUAAAAAAUUAUGCACAAUUAAUUUUUAGGCUUGACUCUCGAAAUAUCCCCAGUGGAGUCGCCAGCUGUCGCGGCCUAAAGUUUCGAGUUUUCAUCGAAUUCAAUGGAGUCGCCACCAAAAUUUAUUUUAAAAUAGGGAAAAUAUUGGGAAACCCUUAAAAAUGUAAAAAUGGUCUUUGAAACCAGAUUUUGAGUUCGGGAGUCGAUUAUGCGUAGGGAAGGUAUUAGCACCCUACGACAUCCGUUAAAAUACGGUUACCUUUAAUUAAUUGUGCAAAAUUAUAUCAACUUAAAUAUAUUUAUUUUUCUUUAUUAUUAAAUAUGAAUAUAAAUUGUUUUUUAUAAAUGUGAUUUUUUGAGAUAAAAGUGUGUUAAAAAAGAAUGGAAAAAAAGAAAGUUUUUAUUAGUGUGCUUGACAAGAGUGUGAUCUUGCUCCUACGUAUCUCCCGGUGCGAUGGAGAAAUCAAAGCUACGUAGUUCUUGGUAAAAAAAUGUGAAUGCGUUGAUUGCUUUUAAAUAAAUUGUAUUUUGUUACUUAAAAAAAACAAUUUUGACGAACAUAAAAAAACUUGUUUGAUUUGAAUAAUUAUCUUAAAAUAUGAAUUUUAAGACGAUCGAAUUGUACAACUCGUGUCUCAAAAUCCAAGGAGUAAAAAGAUGUCACAUCUAAUUUAAUCCUCUUAAGAAUAUUUUAUUUUUUAUUUUUAAAUUGAAUUUCAAAACAAACAAAUAGUUUAAUUUGUAUCUUAACAACUUCAAAAAUAAUAGUAAUAAUAGUAAUAAUAAUAAUAAUUAAAUAAAUUUUUUUUUAAAAGGAUAAGUUUUAGAGUUAUCAAAAUAUAUAAUUUGUAUUAUGUAACUCCGAGAUUAAAAGAUUUUAAUUAACUUUAAAUAAUUUUUAUGAUUUAUUUGUUUAUGAAUUUUUAGUUUAUUAAAUCAUUUGUGAUUAUGAGAUUUAGAACCAUCAAAUUGUCACAAUUUGUGUUCUAAUAACUCAAAGAUUAAAAAGAUGUCACAUCUAAUUAACCUUACAAUAUUCGAUUAUAGUUUUAUCUUUACCCUUUUAAAAUAAUAAUAAUAAUAAUAAUUGAUGUUAAAAAUUAAAUAAAUUUAAAUAAUUCUACGAAAUAAGCUCAAUAAUAAACACACCUAAAAAUAAAAUAAACGGUAAAAAAAAAAUAUAGACUUGUAUUGUUAUUUAUUAAAUAAAUAAAAAAUAAAAAUACCAGAUUAAUAAAAUAAAAACUAUAUACAAAUUGUGAACUCUUUCAAAUACUUUUUAGUGAAUCAAAUGAUGAAAGCAUAACUCAUUUAAUAUUAAAUAGCAUAUUAAUAUCAUUUAAUAUUUGUUUGUUUUUUUAAUUUUAAUUUUAUAACUUUUUUUUAGAAAAAAAUAAAAUUGAUACUACAUAUUAAAUAAGUUUAAACGAUUUUUUUGAAAUAAAAUAGUGAAAAGAAAAAUAUAUAGACUUGUAACUUAAUCUAUUAAAUAAAUAAAAAAAGAUUUUAAUACUAAUUAUAAAUGUAACCCUCUUUUAAACUAUUUUUUCUAAAAUUUAAUAAAUGAAGAAAUAAAAUUCAUUUUUAAAACUAAAUAGCAUAAACCAAAAAAAACUACUAUAACUUAAAAUAAAUGAUAUUUAUCACCUUUUAAUUAUGUCCAUCAUUAAAAUAGAAUUAUUAUAAUUAAAAGAAAUAAAUACUGAAAAUAGAGAAACUAAAAAAAGGUUCAUCCACCACACAAAUAUAUUAUUAAAUCAAUCCAUAUCCAUAGUCACUAGAAUGGGAUGGAAUACAACUAACAAACAGGAUUCAAAAUACAAUAGCAGAAACACAUUUAGUACAAAACUAAUCCAAUUAGACGUCAAAAAUCUCAACCAAAACUCUAAUCAUACACAUCAAAAACAAAAAAUUCAAUUUUUCAAUAAUAUACAACAGCAAACCUAUGAAUGAGGAAAAUACCCUUUUUCCGUGGCGUGGUGGUGGGUUGAUUCUCGUCCGCUGUCGCUUGUUGUUAAUGAUCGAGUAUGUUUAAGGUUAAGGUUAUGGGUUGAUGGGAAGAAGUAUGAUAACAGAUUCUUCUUCUUUGAUAUUGCUCUAUUUCUAUUGUAUUUUGGAAACCAGAAUCAGAAAGAAAGGAAAAUCCCCAAUUUUAUCGUCUGAUUUCUUUCUUCCCCUUAUUGAAUUUUUGUUUCAAUAUAUAGACAAAAAAGAGGAAGGGUUGUAUCCAUUGUAUAAAUUAAUUUCUGGAUUUUAAACUGGUUUGGCAACUACAUCAAACAAUCAAACUGGUACAAUUUAAGGGGAGUAGUCUGGAUUUUACACUGGGUUGUUGUUCUGGAUUUUACAUUGGUUUGGGGUGUUAUUCUGGAUUUUACUGCUUUUACAACAUGAUCAAGCAACUCCAUGUGGAGACGCAACCUCAUAUGGAGACGGCACUUUACACGUCAAAGCAAGAAACAACACACGCAAAAUAGGGACUCUUUUGUUUUAAGUUUCUUUAUUUUAUUAUUUGGUUGGUUUUAUUUAUUUAUUUAUAUUAAAAUAUAAUAUAAAUCUACUACAAUUUUUUUUCUAAUUUUUAGACAAACACACCUAAAUAGUGUUUGUGAUUUUCUAUAUUUUAAAAAGGAAACAGAGCAAUAAUUUUUAAAACAAGAAUUCACUAACUCUACAUUUUUAAUUUAACAUAGUUUUUUUUAUGUAUUUACAAAACUGCCAUUAAUGAAAAUAGUUACUUCUGUUUUUUUUUUUUCUUUUCGGAAUGCAUGUUCAAAUCAAAAAAAUAACUCACCUAGAUAGUGUUUGUAAUUUUCUCAAAUCAAAAAAGUAACUGUAUUUGAUAGUGUUUGUAAUUUUCUAAAGGUAUACAUUAGAUAGUGUUUGUAAUUUUCUGUAUUUGAAAAAAGAAAUAGAGCAAUAAUUUUUAAAACAAAUUCACUGACUCUACAUUUUUAAUUUAACAUAGUUUUUUUUAUAUAUAUUAUGAAACUGUCAUUAAUGAAAACAGUUAGUUUAGUUGAAUAUAUAUUUAAUUAAUUUAUAGUAAAAAUAGUGAUUAAUUAUAAUUUUAAAUAUUAUUUAAAUUAAUAAUUUAUUUAAUUGAAUUAAUUAUAAUUUUGUAAGUGAUUAAUUAGAAAUAGAAAAAAUUGGGUGUCUGUAGUUUUUAUUUAUCAAAAUAAUAUUACUCACUCUUUUCGAUUAUUAAUUAGUAUUAUCAUAUUAUAUUUUACAUUGUUUGAUGUUAAUUAACUUAUAUUAUAUUUUAAUUUGAGAGAAUUGGUAUCUUUAAAAAUAUAAAGAAAUGGUUUGUCAUAAACCCUUAAGCCAACAUCAAACCUUUAAUAUAAAUCAGGGAUAGAUAGGUUUUGACAAUAAGUGGAUAGUAAAUUAAUUUGUGAAGGUGUAAUGUUUUUGGAGCAAAUACAGCUACUUAGAAAUCUUAAUAACGAGACUCAUAACGGUAAGGGUCUCACCUCAUUCGCUUUCCUACUUGAAUUAUAUGUGAUAUAAAUGAACAGCGAUAUUAUGUAUUGGUUAUGUUUGUGUUUUAUCUUCAAAAUAAAUGUUAUAUGAUACGCUGUUAUAAUGGUUGCGUUUGACAUGUUCAAAUUGUGAAAAAUAAACGUUAUAUGACAUGUUGUUAUAAUGGUUGUGCUUGACAUGUUGUGGUUAUUUGAGGUGAUGACUUUGUGUCUAAACCAAUUUGGUUUUGGACAUUACAUAGCUUUUUUAUAUAUAUUAUGAAACUAUCAUUAAUGAAAACAGUUAGUUUAGUUGAAUAUAUAUUUAAUUAAUUUAUAGUAAAAAUAGUGAUUAAUUAUAAUUUUAAAUAUUAUUUAAAUUAAUAAUUUAUUUAGUUGAAUUAAUUAUAAUUUUGUACAUGAUUAAUUAGAAAUAGAAAAAAUUGGGUGUCUGUAGUUUUUAUUUAUCAAAAUAAUAUUACUCACUCUUUCCGAUUAUUAAUUAGUAUUAUCAUAUUAUAUUUUAAAUUGUUUGAUGUUAAUUAACUUAUAUUAUAUUUUAUAUUGUUUGAUGUUAAUUAACUUUUCAAGAGAACAACAUUUAAUGUAGGUAAGAUAGUCAAACACCAAUGUAUAUUUUUUACUAUUUGAUCAAUAAAUUUUAUUAUAUUUCAUUUUCAUCUUAAAUAACAUGUAAGUUAGAGUUAACAUUUUCUUGCUGAAAACUAAGGAAAAUCACUAAUAUGAGUUACAAAAGUAAAGUGGACAAAAAAUGAAAUGAAAAAAAAAAUAAAAAAUUAAAUGGUCACUAAUAUGAGUUACAUUUUGUUGCUGAAAUCAAGUCACACUGGUCUCUCUACCUUCCUUCACGCGGAAAUGACCCGUAUCAUCACCCGUAUCAUCAUUACCAGUAGCAUAUAUUUAAUCAUUACCGUAUUAUUACCCGUAGCAUAUAUUUAAUCAUUUCCCGUAUCAUCAUUUUUAUUCUUAUCUAGAAAUGACCUAAUAGCCCCCGUAUAUACUUUGAGAUUUUUAGUGUUGAGAUUUUUAGUUUCAUAAUUUAGGGGAUUUGUCUCCUUUAUAAUUUACUAAUUUCAAUUUUUAAUGGAAAAAUCAAUUAUUUUAAAAAUUGAAUGGAUUUGGUUAAAAUUUUAACGAAAUAAAUUUAUUUUUUAAUAUUAUUUUUACUUAUAUUUAUAUUUUAUUUUAAAGAUAAUAAUUUUGACAACUUCAUUAAAGUGUGGUAUCAUCAUAUAUUCUUUAUGAUUAUGUGACAUUGUCAUAUUUAUAUUUUCAAAACUAUAUUAGUUAUAAAGAAACAAAAAAUAGAGAAUUCAUUCCAUUGACAAUCAACCAUAGUUAAGUUCUCUAGUAUGAUUUUUAUUUUGUAAUUAAAUUCUCAUCUAGUUUUUAUUGAGAUUAAAGAUAAUAUAUAUUAUCGGUGUAAAGUAAUUUUACAUUAACAAUCAAUUAUAAUGCGUCAAUUUAUAAAAUAUAUGUUUUUACUUUUCUUUUCAGUAUUUUUGUUGAUUGUGUUAUCAAUAUGAUUGGUUGUCAAUGUAAAAUAAAUUUACACUCGGUACAUUAUCUUUAAUCUCUUUUAUUUUUUUAAAAACUGUAUAAAAGAACUUCAUUUCAUUUUAAUUGUUUGGUUUGAGAGUACACAUACAAACAUACUAUUAGAUACUAUUAGGGUUUAGUCACCUAUAAAUCAUAUGAAACUAAUUGAUGUAAGAGUGAAUGAAGAUAUUGAAAGUUUCUUUUAUCAUUCAAUGUUUCAUAAAAACAGAAAUUAUGUCUAAAGGUAUACAUUAGACAAAAAAAUAUUGUAUUUUUGUCUGAAAAUAUAUAUUUAGAGGACAAUAAAUAUGAUUUCUUCUAAAUAUGUACUUCCGAAGUAUGUUAAGGGUGGAAAAAUAAACUUUAAAAGAUGAUUCACCAUUGACCACACAAUACUUCACCUUAGGAGCAACCUUGCUAUGUGUUUCAUAUACAAAUCUUUAAAACCAUAAAACUAAUAAAAACUAGGAUACAAUGUUGUUACUAAAACUUAAAAACAAAAAUACUAGAUCUAUAGAGACCUUAAUGUAAAAGAGAUCUGUAAAGAGAAUAUUUAGAACAUAUUUUCAGCUUAAGGAAAUACAUAAUUUAAACCCUAAAUAAAAAUACAUUUAAAAUCUUUAUAAAAAAACCCACAAAAAUAAAUGAAUUUGGUGCAUUUAUUUAGAUAGUUGACUAUUGACUAUCCUUAACAAAAGAUUGAUCAAAUCAAUGUCACAUUUGCAUUCUCAAGGCAACAAGCCUUCCUAUCUACUAAAGCAUAAUAUAUAAAAUAAUAACAAUUUUAAUGAAACCUACAACAUUCAACUCUACAUAAAAGGGGCAAGCAUAGAAGGAUUAAAUGGGAUUUUCCUUGACCAGCAAAAUAAAACAAAAUUUAUAGUCUAUAUUUGAGCACAAAUCACUUUUGGCACCAUAACAAUGCCCCAAUUUUGACUAUCUAAGAAAUGCAGAAGUUACUCUAGCGAUAACACGCCGAUCUUCGCCAAGAGCUCACAUCGAUGAGAAAGUUUGACAACUCAAUGUCGGCUUUUUACCACCUGGAGCUGUAGUAUGUUUCUUCUCCCCACUAUGAAUGUCAAUAUCCUUCAUUCCUUUCUAAAGUGCUAUUUUUUUCUCCUUUUUCGAACUUGGUCUCUAAUCCACAAUUUUGGCUACAAAAGUACAAUGAGUUUGUGAGAAUAGCUGGUAUAUAGUGUUAUAUUGCAGUGGCAGUUGAUUAUGACCUGCAAACCAAAGACAAAACUCAUGACAUGACUAGGUAGAGAGAGAGAGAGAGAAUAACAUAUUUCUCCAAUCGUCACAUUAUAAGUGUCAUUUUAGUUCAUGCGCACUUCGUAAGAAAAUAAUUAGUUGUGUUGAUUUUUAGAUUAAAAUAAUGGUGAAGACUAAAAUACACAUUAAUUAGAGUGGUUGAAAGUAGUAGUAAUAGUAGAAUAAUUAGGUGAACUAUUUAAUUAAAGAGGGUAUUAUUUCCUAAAAUGACAUAAUUUGAGACGGAGAAAUAUUCCAAACUUGACAUUUAGAAUCACACGGAGGGAAUAGCAGAAUUACCUCCAAAGUAAUUAACAUAUUAUGCAAUUAUUUUCUUCAAACGACUUGAUAGCAUAUCACUUCUUUUCUAGUCCUCGACUUGUUUCUUGACUUGCUACGACUUUCAGAGUUGUCGCGUUUAUGGAAGUUUCUAGAUUGACUUAUUGUAACAACCUGUUAAUUUAAAAAUAAAUAAUUAAUUUAUACAAAAAAAAAACAUUAUUGUAAUAUUUGGACAAAUGAAGGGCAAUGGCGUAAUUUUCAUCUAAGAAUGCCUUUUCCCUUAUUUGUAAGCACUGCAUCUAAGAAUUCAAUAGAGACCUCCUUAGUAUGUCACUAGUGUCCAAUCACCCUGUAUGAUAGAGUUUUUCUAAUAAACCUAGUCUGUUUGCCCCUUAAGGGCUUGGACAUCAUAUUAGGAAUGGAUUGGAUGUCCGACCAUUGUGUAACUUUGAUUUGCUAUGGUAGGAAAGUCAUAAUUCCUCCAGGAAUUCCCCAACCAGAGGAAACCAAAUACCGUUCGUUGACCAACAAUUCUCUACUCUUCCAAUGUUUGACCAAUGGGGUUCAAGGCGUACUAUUAUUACUAUCUUCCAACUCAGGGUCUGAAAUGGACUUGUCCAAUAUUCCUAUAGUCAGUGAGUUUGAGGAUGUAUUUCCAGAUGAUGUGACAUCAUUGCCUCCUAAAAGAGAAAUAGAGUUCUCCAUAGAUUUGGUCCCUGGAACAGGACCAAUCUCCAUUGCCCCUUACAGGAUGUCCCCAUUAGAAUUGAGUGAGUUGAAAAACCAAUUAGAGGACCUGAUAACCAAGCAAUUUAUCAGACCAAGUGUGUCUCCUUGGGGAGCCCCUAUGCUCUUGGUAAAGAAGAAGGAUGGUAGUAUGAGAUUAUGCAUAAAUUAUAGAAAAUUGAAUAAAGUGGCCAUCAAGAAUAAGUACCCUCUGCCCAGAAUUGAUGGCUUUUUAGAUCAAUUAGGAGGAGCUACUGUGUUUUCCAAAAUUGACUUGAGAUCAGGGUACCACCAAAUCAAAAUAAAAUCAAAGGAUGUACCAAAAACUGCCUUUAGAACUAGGUAUGGACACUAUGAGUUUUUGGUUAUGCCUUUUGGUGUAACCAAUGCCCCGAUUGUGUUUAUGGAUUACAUGAAUAGAAUUUUUAAGCCAUACUUGGAUAAGUUUGUGAUAAUAUUUAUAGAUGACAUACUAAUAUACUCUAAGACCCUAGAAGAACAUGCAAGUCAUCUUCAAAUAGUGUUGCACGUACUUAGGGAUAGAAAACUUUAUGCCAAACCAAGCAAAUGUGAGUUUUGGAUGUCAGAAGUAAAGUUUCUAGGUCAUGUGAUCAAUAAGAAAGGAGUGGCAGUGGAUCCCUCCAAAGUAGAGGCAGUGCUGAAAUGGGAACAUCCUAGGAAUGUGACAGAGGUUAGGAGUUUCUUAGGACUGGCGGGAUAUUAUAGGAGAUUCAUUAGGAAAUUCUCCCAAAUUGCCCUGCCGUUGACCAGACUGACUAGGAAGGACCAACCCUUUGUGUGGGAUCAAAAAUGUGAAAAGAGUUUUCAGAAUCUUAAGACCAAGUUAACAACUGCCCCUGUGCUAGCCAUACCAGAUCCAACCUUAAGAUUUGAGGUGUAUUGUGAUGCAUCCCUGAAAGGUUUAGGUUGUGUAUUGAUGCAAAACAACCAAGCAGUGGCUUAUGCUUCAAGACAACUAAAACCUCAUGAGGGAAACUAUCCCACUCAUGACCUAGAAUUGGCCGCCAUAGUGUUUGCCUUGAAGAUUUGGAGACAUCAUUUGUAUGGAGCAUAAUUUGAUAUUUUCAGUGAUCACAAGAGCCUAAAGUAUCUCUUUGACCAAAGGGAACUUAACAUGAGGCAAAGAAGGUGGGUGGAGUUUUUGAAGGAUUAUGAAUUUGAACUGAAAUACCACCCAGGCAAGGCCAAUGUAGUAGCUGAUGCAUUGAGCAGAAAAUCCCUACAUAUGUCUCAUAUGAUGAUCCAAGAACUUGCACUGCUGGAAAACCUUAGAGACUUGAACCUAAGUAUGACAAUCCUCCAAAGGGGAAUUCUUUUAAGUAAACUAGAAAUAACUAGUAGCCUUAGAGAGCAAAUUAGGCAAUCUCAAGGAAUGGAUGAAGAAUUGUAACAUAGAAAGGACCAAGAAAGAUUUACAAGGGUAAGAGAUGGAACAAUCCUAUUUCAGGGAAGAAUUUGGGUACCUAAGGAUUCAGAGUUAAAGAGACUGAUACUAGAGGAAGCUCACAAAAGUAACCUGACUGUCCAUCCUGGAUCUACCAAGAUGUACCAAGACCUUAAGAAAAAUUAUUGGUGGCCAGGUAUGAAGGUUGAUGUGGCUACUUUUGUGGGUCAAUGCCUAACUUGCCAAAAGGUGAGAAUAGAACAUCAGAGGCCAGCAUGAUUGCUGCAACCUCUAGAAAUACCUGAAUGGAAAUGGGACUCAAUUUCCAUGGAUUUUGUUGUAAGUUUACCACAUACCCACACUGGGUAUGAUUCCAUUUGGGUGAUUGUAGACAGAUUAACUAAGUCAGCUCAUUUCUUACCAGUAAAGUCAAACUACAACACCAUCAAACUAGCCAAGUUAUUCAUUAAGGAAAUAGUGAGGUUGCAUGGGGUUCUUCUUAGUAUCAUAUCAGAUAGGGACCCUAAGUUUACCUCCAUGUUUUGGAAGGCAUUUCAAAAGUCUCUAGGAACUAGACUACACCUUAGUACUUCCUACCAUCCCCAGACUGAUGGUCAAACUGAAAGAACCAUUCAGACUCUAGAGGAUAUGCUGAGGGCUUGCAUUUUAGAGGAAGGAGGAAACUGGGAUACACACUUGCCUCUAGUAGAGUUUUCCUAUAACAAUAGUUACCAUGCCAGCAUUGGCAUGACACCUUAUGAGGCUUUGUAUGGAAGGAAAUGUAGGACGCCGUUAUGUUGGUCAGAAGUAGGGGACAAGGGGAUCUUAGGUCCUGAAGUUAUCCAAGAGACCACUGAAAAGAUUAAGGUAAUUAAGGAUAAACUAAAGAUAGCCCAAAGCAGGCAAAAAAGCUAUGCUGAUAUCAGGAGAAGGCCUUUGGAGUUUGAGGAGGGAGAUCAUGUUUUUUUAAGAGUUACCCCCAUUAUUGGCAUUGGAAGAGUGCUAAAGGUCAAGAAGCUAAACCCUCGUUUUGUUGGACCCUUUCAAAUAUUGUAGAGGAUUGGUCCCUCUGCAUAUAGAAUAGCCUUGCCACCCAAACUAUCUAAUCUACACAAUGUUUUUCACGUCUCCCAGUUAAAGAAAUACAUUCCUAAUCCUCACCAAAUUUUGAGUCAUGAGUCUGUCCAACUUAAGUCAAACCUUACUUAUGACCCAAUGCCAGUUCAAAUUAUAGAUAGAAGUGUAAAAGCAUUGAGAAACAAAGAAAUUCCCCUAGUGAAGGUUGUUUGGGAAGGAUCUUCUGUAGAUGAAGCAACAUGGGAAGCAGAGACAGACAUGCAAAUGGAGUAUCCUUACCUUUUCCAAUAGGUAAUCUUCUGAAUUUUGAGGGCAAAUUUUUUUUUGUAAGUGGUGGAGGAUGUAACAACCUAUUAAUUUAAAAAUAAAUAAUUAAUUUAUACAAAAAAAAAUAUUAUUGUAUAUUUGGACAAAUGAAGGGCAAUGGCGUAAUUUUCAUACUAUCCCUCCAAUAUCCCUUUACCACCUUCAGAAACCCACAUUCCCGUUCCUUUUUCUUCUUCGUUACCUGCAUCCAUCCUCCCAUCCUCCCAAUCUUCAACCUCUCAUUUUCCUUCAUUUUUUUUAAUGAAUCAAACCCAAAAGCUUGGCAAAGCUCCUUAAACCCAUUUUUAAGCCUUGCAUGUCUCAAUUUGUAACUACUAACCGGUUUCAAUCAAAGCAGCAGAGGGAUACUAACCAACAAAUGAAGAAGAGUCAAAGUGGCAAUUCAGGCAAAAGGGGACUUCAACGACCAAUUUAAUCGGGACAUUGUCUUCUCCUUUAUCACCAACGGUGAGUUUUUUUUAUCAAAGGGUUUUUGUUGUUGUUGUUGUUAUGAUUAGGGAUUUCAUUUUUUUGAAGUUGUUGAAAAUAAGUUAGAACUUAGGCUGUUGUUUAUGGUUGUGGUGUUUGUGAAUGAAUUAUGUAUUAGGAAAAAUUUAAUUAUAUGUGUAUCACUAUAUUUAAGGUGAUUAUGCUUGUCGGGCACGAUUUAUGCUCGUUACUGCUGUUGUUGCUUCUGAUAUGUAUUUGUGAAAUUGCGUUAUGUUACCUUAAUUUCGGUUAGAAUGAUGAUUUUAGGUGCAUGCAUUUAAAAUAUAUGGUUUUAUUUACUAGUGAAGAGAAAAUUCUAUUUUUAUCCCAAAUAAUCAAUGCAUGAGAGGUGUUUGAUGAAAAUACUGUGAGAACUAUUGCAGGAAAAUUGUUGUAUUUAAGUUUGGUUUUCUAAAUAAAAACAAAAUUGUGUAAACAAGUCUUAGAAUCAGAUUUUUCAUGAAUUAUAGGUUUCCAAUUUUGAGAUGAGAUCAAUUGCAUUAUGUUCUUAAUUGAGUUAGCUUUUAAGGAAAUUUUUGGAAUUUUCUAAAGUAAUUUGUGCCUUCAUCAAUAAUUAUUAGUGACCAUUGUGCUGAAAAUAUUCUAAUGUGUGAUUUGUAAGAAUGAAUAGAAUUUUUAAGAAAUUUGAAUGACUUCAUUAUUUAUAUAUAUAUAACUUUUAUUAUAUUUGAAUUAUUAAUUGUUAUGGAGUUGUUACUAUUUUCAUGACUCAAAUAUUGUUCUAUUUUCUGACUAUAGAUUUACGUUUUGAAUUAAGGGCUUGAGAUUAAAUUAUUAUGAGUUUAAGCAUAUCGCAUAAUUUAUUGAUAAUUGUUGUGGAUGAAUGAUGCAUUUUAUAUAUGAUAUAAUAAGUGCAUUUCAUACAAAACAUGUAAGUUUUGUACAACAUCAUUGAUCAGAGCAUGCAUGGCCUUAUUCACGGUGGGACAUUUAGGUUAUUUCAGGCAUGGAAUAACAGGUAAAGGAGAACAAUCAGGACGCUGAUUGGGGUUUGGCCAGACCACCUUUACCAAUCAGGACUCAAUUAUCUUAGUGACCCACAUUAAGAUAUUGAGCGACUUUUCCUUAUUCCAAAGGAAAAGAUUUGAGGUCAUGCAUACGUUUUUCACAACAUAUAUAUAGACAUGUAUAAUUAUUUUUACGUGUUAUGCACUUUUAUGAAAGAAAUUCCUUGAGAUUGUUCUCCCAUUUUAUUUUUAGAGCUCACUGAGAUAUUUUAUCUCACCCCAAUUAUUAUUAUUAUUUUUUCUUUAGCAGCUGGAGGAACAUGAGUCAUGAAAUCAGCAUCAGAAGAUUAGUUCCAAACUCGUGGAAUUAGAAUUUAAUAUUUUGUUUUAUGAUGUAAUCAGACAAUGGUAGUUGUUUUCAAGAUGUAAUAUUUUAUGAAUCUACUAAACAAGUUGUAAACUAUAUUAUGAAUGUAGUUUUCAGUUAUGAUGGUGAUUCUAAUUUAUUAUUUAUUGUUAAUUACCUCUGUUUUAUUAAGGUGUAUGGGCCAAAUUAUCAUAUUCUAGACAAAUGAUAAUGGGUCUUACACUUAUCCCCGUGACUCUGUAACUAGUGCUUCUGACUUUGAGGAAUAACCAAUCAACCCACGUUCCUUUCUUCGAGCUUCUUCAUUCAAAAUGCUCUCUUUAACUGUUGAUAUUUUCAACUUUCCACUUGGAGCUGAAUUGGUCAACGUCACAACAAGGACUUCCCAAUUAUCAGGCAACGAACUAAACAAUAACAACGCUUGCAACUCAUCAUCUAAUUUAAUUUCCGCGGUUGUCAACUGAUUCACUGUAUUCUGAAAAAUACUCAUAUGCUCUGCCAUUGAAUCCCCAUCUUUAUAUUUCAUAUUCACCAGCUUCCGAAUCAAGAAUGCUUUAUUUUGCACAUUCUUUCGUUCAUACAACUCUUUUAAUUUUUCCCACAUCUUGUUAGCAUCUAUUUCAGUUUCAACAUGUGGAUACACACUAAGAUCCAACCACUGCCUAAUCAACGCCACUGCCUCUCUAUUCAUCUUCUUCCAGUCAGCGUCAGAUUUAUCUGCGGGUUUAGCAGUGUCACCCUCAAUAGGAUCAUACAAAUCUUUACUGUAUAACAUGUCUUCCAUGAGAGUCUUCCAAAGUGUAUAAGUAGAAGAGUUGAGUUUAAUCAUAUUGGGACCUUUAUUUUUCUCCUCCAUUUAAAUGCACAAAUCAAAUAACCGAGCUCUGGAUACCACUUUGUUGGGAAAAACCAGAGAUAAUUAUCUCAAUAAUGCGGAAUAUUUUUCCCCCACCUGUACAGAUAAAUGGGCAAAUAGAAAAUACAAUUCCAAGAGCAAUAAUAAUUGGCAGAAAAUUAAAUAUGAGACAAACACAAUUUUAACGUGGAAAACUUCCCUCAAAUUGAGAGAAUAAAAACCACGGGACCUAGUCCAGUAAAAACUUCCACUAUAAUAAUUAAUGGGUACACCAAGAGUCUUCCUAAUAACAAUAGGGAAUAUAAAUCAACAAUAACAACCCUAUAACAACCUUCCACUAAAGUGGGUAUGCCAAAGUAACUCUCAGAGAAGAUAAAACUACUCAAAUUAUAUGUUAAAAUAACAAACUCAGUGGUAGGAAUAACAUACUAAAUUUGUAGAUCAAACGAAGCAAGUUUGCUACACACCUAUUACCACCAUUGGAACCAAACCCUUUUUUUUCUUCUCUGGCAACCGUUAUUCUUCCGUUGUCUGUUUGUAUGUCUCUUAGGGAUUUCUAAAUCAUUUUUAUUACCUUCAAGUGGGCCAAACCCAUUAAAACCUUUUUUUUUUCUUUUUAUUUCAAUAAUAAUAAUAAUAUUAGUAAAAUUGGUGGAUUCCACUUGGGGAGUGAGUCCACCCAACAAAUCUCCCCCUCACGACUCAAGUGGGAAGGUACUGCUCAACCAUGUCAGGUUUCUUUCUGCAACAUAUCAUCUUCGACACAAGCAAGGUCUUCGUCGUCAUAUCUGAACCAUUCUCAUCAGUAUGAAUCUUCUCAAUUAAAAAUAACUUCAUUUCCAGUGCAUCUCGUAUCCAAUGAUAUCGCACUUCAAUAUGCUUCGACUUUGCAUGAAAAGUCGGAUUCUUGCUGAGAUGGAUCACACUCUGAUUUUCAUAGAAUAACACAAACUUGUCUUGCUUGAGGCCUAACUCAUGUAGGAAUUUCUUCAUUCAAAUGAGUUCUUUGGAAGCUUCAGUUGCUGCAAUGUACUCAGCUUCAGUAGUAGAUAAAGCAACACACUUUUGUAGUCUUGAUUGCCAAGACACAGUUCCCCCUGCAAACGUCAUCAUAUAACUAGAAGUAGAUUUUCUAGAAUCAAGAUCACCUGCCAUAUCUGCAUCUGUGUAGCCAUCCAACACAAGUUCACCAACUCCAUAGCAUAAACACACUUCGGAAGUGCCUCUAAGGUAUCUGAAAAUCCACUUCACUGCUUGCCAAUGAUCUUUACCAGGAUUAGAGAGAAAUCGACUAACAACUUCAACUGCAUGGGAAAUAUCUGGCCUUGUGCAUACCAUAGCAUACAUCAAACUACCAAUUGCGGAUGCAUAAGGAACCUUCUUCAUCUCUUCUUUGUCUUUCUCACUUGUAGGACAUUUAUCAGAAUUCAAUUUAAAAUGAGUAGCAAGUGGAGUACUAACAGGUUUGCAAUUGCUCACGUUAAACCUCUCUAACACCUUCUCAAUAUAACUGUGUUGAGACAACCCCAAUUUAUUAUUCUUCCUGUCACGAGUAAUUCUCAUACCCAGAAUUUGCUUUGCAGGACCUAAGUCUUUCAUUGCAAAAGACUUGUUCAAAUCUUUCUUUAAAGAUUGAAUCUUCUUAGUGUCAUGACCAACAAUCAACAUGUCAUCCACAUAUAAUAAGAGAAUAAUAUAAUCACCAUAAGAGAAUUUCUUGAUAAACACACAAUGGUCAGAAGUAGUUUUACUAUACCCAUGUUUCUCCAUGAAAGAAUCAAAUUUCUUGUACCAUUGUCGAGGUGCUUGCUUGAGCCCAUACAAACUUUUCUUUAAUUUGCACACAAGAUGCUCUUUACCUUUGACUUCGAAACCCUCUGGUUGCUCCAUAUAGAUCUCUUCCUCCAAAUCACCAUGAAGGAAUGCAGUUUUCACAUCAAGUUGUUCAACUUCUAGGUUCAAACUAGCUGCUAACCCAAGCACAACUCGGAUAGAGGACAUCUUCACCACAGGUGAAAAAAUUUCAUCAAAGUCAAUACCUUUUCUCUGAUUAAAACCUUUCACAACCAAUCUUGCUUUGUAUCUUGGUUGAGAACUAUUCUCUUCUGCCUUUAUCUUGUAUACCCAUUUGUUCUUGAGUGCUUUUCUACCAUUAGGCAACUUUACCAAAUCAAAUGUGUGAUUCUCAUGCAAGGAAUUCAUCUCUUCUUGCAUGGCCUUUAACCACUUUUCUUUAUCAACAUUUGUAAUAGCUUCUUGAUAAUACUAUGGCUCUCCACUAUNNNNNNNNNNNNNNNNNNNNNNNNNNNNNNNNNNNNNNNNNNNNNNNNNNNNNNNNNNNNNNNNNNNNNNNNNNNNNNNNNNNNNNNNNNNNNNNNNNNNNNNNNNNNNNNNNNNNNNNNNNNNNNNNNNNNNNNNNNNNNNNNNNNNNNNNNNNNNNNNNNNNNNNNNNNNNNNNNNNNNNNNNNNNNNNNNNNNNNNNNNNNNNNNUUGGUCUUUAGAUUUCCAAGGAAAGGCCCACACUUUUCUAGAGUGGUCGUCAAUAAAAGUAACAAAAUAUGAUGCACCACCAAGAGAUUUACUAUCCAUCAUACAAACAUCAGUAUGAACUAAAUCAAGAAUAUUUUGCCUCCUAUGAGGACCAGUAUUAUGAAAAGAAACUCUAUGUUGUUUUCCAGCAAAACAAUGAGUGCAAGUUUUUAGAGACGUACCUUUCACAGGAAGAAAAUUUUUCUUCGCAAGUAUGUUGAGUCCUUUCUCACUCAAGUGACGAAGGCGCAUAUGCCAUAAAUCAGAAGAUGCAUCUUCAAUUGCAUUCACUUCUUCCUUGCAUAGCUUCGUAGGCAUCCUAUAGAGAGAAGUGGAACUUUGUUCCUUUGCAACCACUAGGGACCCUUUAGUGAUUUUACAUAUACCACCACCACCAAAGAAAGUGUGAUAACCAUCAAUAUCCAAGGCUUUCACCGAAAUCAAAUUGAGACGAAUAUCAGGAACCAAUCCCAGUUUCAACCGAAACAUCUCCCAUACCGAUAAUUUUACAUACUCCUUCAUCUCCCAUUUUUACCAUGCCAAAAUCACCAGCACUGUAACAUGAGAAGAAAUCAUGCCUAGGAGUAACAUGAUAUGAGGCACCCAAAUCAAUAAUCAAAGUUGAAUCCUGACAUGCAAGGUUUAUGGAAUUAUCAUCACAAACAAUGUAGGCAUUAUUAACAGAUACAACUGCUGUUGCCACAAUGAUAGCAUAUCACUUCUUUUCUAGUCCUCGACUUGCUUCUUGACUUGCUACGACUUUCAGAGUUGUCGCGUCUAUGGAAGUUUCUAGAUUGACUUAUCCCUCGUGACUCUGUAACUAGUGCUUCUGACUUUGAGGAAGAACCAAUCAACCCACGUUCCUUUCUUCGAGCUUCUUCAUUCAACAUGCUCUCUUUAACUGUUGACAUUUUCAACUUUCCACUUGGAGCUGAAUUGGUCAACGUCACAACAAGGACUUCCCAAUUAUCAGGUAAGGAACUCAACAAUAACAACGCUUGCAACUCAUCAUCUAAUUUAAUUUUGCGGUUGUCAACUGAUUCACUGUAUUCUGAAAAAUACUCAUAUGCUCUGCCAUUGAAUCCCCAUCUUUAUAUUUCAUAUUCACCAGCUUCUGAAUCAAGAAUGCUUUAUUUUGCACAUUCUUUCGUUCAUACAACUCUUUUAAUUUUUCCCACAUCUUGUUAGCAUCUAUUUCAGUUUCAACAUGUGGAUACACACUAAGAUCCAACCACUGCCUAAUCAACGCCACUGCCUUUCUAGUCAUCUUCUUCCAGUCAACAUCAAAUUUAUUUGCGGGUUUAGCAGUGUCACCCUCAAUAGGAUCAUACAAAUCUUUACUGUAUAAUUAGAAGAGUUGAGUUUAAUCAUAUUGGGACCUUUAUUUUCCUCCUCCAUUUAAAUGCACAAAUCAAAUAACCGAGCUCUGGAUACCACUUUGUUGGGAAACACCAGAGAUAAUUAGCGAUAAUUAUCUCAAUAAUGCGGAAUAUUUUUUCCCCCACCUGUGCAGAUAAAUGGUCAAAUAGAAAAUACAAUUCCAAAAGCAAUAAUAAUUAGUAGAAAAUUAAAUAUGAGAGAAAUACAAUUUUAACAUGGAAAAUUUCCCUCAAAUUGAGAGAAUAAAAACCACGGGACCUAGUCCAGUAAAAACUUCCACUGUAAUAAUUAAUGGGUACACCAAAGUCUUCCUAAUAACAAUAGGGAAUAUAAAUCAACAAUAACAACCCUAUAACAACCUUAUAACAACCUUCCACUAAAGUGGGUAUGCCAAAGUAACUCUCAGAGAAGAUAAAACUCAGUGGUAGGAAUAACAAACUCAGUGGUAGGAAUAACAUACUAAAUUUGUAGAUCAAACGGAGCAAGUUUGCUACACACCUGUUACCACCACUGGAACCAACCCUUAUUUUUCUUCUCUGGCAACUGUUCUUCCGUUGUCUGUUUGUAUGUCUCUUAGGGAUUUCUAAAUCCUUUUUAUUACCUUCAAGUGGGCCAAGCCCAUUAAAACCAUUUUUUUUAUUUCAAUAAUAAUAAUAAUAAUAUUAGUAAAAUUGGUGGGUUCCACUUGGGGAGUGAGUCCACCCAACAAAAAUGACAAAAGAUGUUUAUAAAAAGAUGUAACAAUUCAUUCAUACAAAUAAUUAUAUGCCACAAUAGAAGACAUCUCAAAAUAUAUUAUCCAAAUAUUCAUUAACAAUAAUUAAAUAAUUAAGUUCAAAUAGUAAAUAAUGAAUUUUAAUAAAGAUCGAAUUCAAACUUUGACUUGAUUAACUAUUGAUCAAACAUUAGCACUUUCUAACUAAACUUUGAAUAAUCAUAUCAAAAACUCAAAUCACACAUUUUAUAUAUUUUACACAUUGCGUCAUAAUGCUACUUGAUAAAAUACAUAUAAGAUAUCUAUGUGGUGAAAAAAUUGAAUACCCAUCAUAUUUUUACCCUUACAAAACUCUAUGGUCUGUCAAGCUAAAUAUGAUUUUGAUUAUAUGAAUUGUUUAUUUAGAGUGAAAAGUUGGAUUUAAAUUUUUGCUAAAAAGUGUGAAAAUUUGAAAGUUAUAUAUGAAUUACUUUGUUGAUGAAUAUAUAGACUAUUAUUGAGAUUUUUGUAAAAAGAAAAACUACUAUUGAGAUGCCAUGUACUAUGGCAUACAACUAUUUCUAGGAAAGUAAGUAAAAAAUUGAUAAGCAAUAAAUUAUGAUUCUUACUUGCAGAUCUUUCUAUUCCUAAAAGAAAAAUUAGAACUUUAGGAAUAAUUGAAAAAGUUCCACUUGCAUCCUUUCAUAGCACAAGAUGCACAUUGUUCCUUCAAAAUUAAUUUAAAUGAACCGAUAUGAUUUAAAAAAUUAGUUUGGGAUUGCUUGGUCAAUAUAAGAUUUAAUAAUUUAGCAUUCUUUGUAUCAUCUAUUUUUAUAAUGUGGGGUGGAAUUUUUCCAAAUCAUAAUAAUAUGGAAUAUAUAUGCAAACACUCAACCCAAAAUCUAAAUUGCAUUUCCAACAAAAAUAAUAAUAAUAAUUAUAAUGAUGCAAAAUUCAUUUCACUGAAAUUCAAAUUCCACCCUAUUACAGAAUUCUCUAUUUUAUACAAAAAUUAAAAAAUCAUGUUGCUUGCCUAUACAAACAAGACAUAAUUAUUAUUAUUAGUAUUAGUUUUAUGAAAAAUAUUAUAUAGCUCUUAAAAUAUUGCAGCUUUUAGUCUCCUUCCAAGCUCCUUUCUGAAAAGAAAAAAAAAAAUCAUUAUGAGCAUAACAUAACAUCAUAUAAAUAAUUCAUAUGCAUCAAUAUAAUUAAAUGGUUAGUGAAAAUGAUUGUUUUUGAUUAUUACCUUAUGAGUUGCCUAUCAAAUCCAGAAGCAGCCAAAAGUCCUCUGUUUUCUUCAGCCCUUCUUAACAAGUAAGGCAUAACCAUCUCAACUGGUCCAAAUGGCAUAUACUUGCUUACUCUAAAUCCAGCAUUGCUUAAACCAAAUGAAAGUGCAUCUGCCAUUCCACAUAAUUGUGCAAAUUCAAGCUUGUGAUUCACUUUUCUAAUCCCUAUUUCAUAUGCUUUUGCAGCAGCCAAUUUUCCUACACACAACAUUCAUUUUUCACUUCACAUUAGACACAUUCAUUUAAAAUGUUGCUAUUUCUAUGCUGCGUCAACAAAAGGAGUCAGCCCUGAUAGAAGUAUAUUUCUAAAUAUGAUACGUGUGAUUAGAGUUGUCUAGAUGAGUCUGGCCCGUGGGUCAGUCCAUUAGCCCACUUUAUUUAUUGGGCUGGACUAUAAAAAAAAUUAGCUUCGAGUCAGACUACUUUUUAGAAGAAAAAAUUGAACGAAUUGAGUUAUUUCUCAAUGGACUGGAUUAGUGCAUUUGACAAUUCUAUGUGAGGUUAUAUUAUAUCACUUUAUUUUCUUAUUAUCAGCAUUUACAUGUCAAUAUCAAUAUUCUUUAAGAUGAAUGUAUAAAAUAGAUAGAAGUGAAGAUAACAUGUUGAAUUGUAUGUAUAUAUAAUUAGUACCUGAUUGAAUAUUAUGAGUAGCAAGAACAAGAGAACCAGGUCCAUUGGCAAUCUUUUGAAGCAAAAAAGAAGAACAAUCAUUGAAGCAAUUGUGUGUGUCUUGAAUGGUAGCAUGAAUUGGGGAAGGAUAUCCAAAAGAGUGAGCCAAAGUAUUUUCAGUGGACAUAUAAGCACCUCUAACCAAUUUAAAUCCCAUUGGAAUUCCAAUAUUGUCAGCAGCUUUAGUUGCAAGAAGCAAUCUCUCCUUAGCAUCUUUCAAGUAAGUUUGAAUUGUUCCAAACACAAUUGGAUUAUCAUCUUUGUUAUGAAUAAUAGCUGAAGAAUAUGUGAAGUAAUCAAUAGCUGGUUGAACACUUGUGUGUUCUGCAUCAACCAACAAAGGCAUAUUACUUUCAACACAUUUUUCACAAAGUUUUUGUAAUCUUUCAUUUGCUAGUUCAAGAUCAUUCUCUUCUUCUGAUGUUAAUGGUUCAGGUCUUUUCUGAGUGUGAUACAAUGGACUUGACUCUGAGAAUAUUGGAAGACAAUCUUGUUUCCAUGCUAAUUUCAAUGAAGGCUCUUUUUCUUGCCAUCUUAGAAGAUCACUUAUUCUCUCUAGUAAUGCCAUUGGACAUAUUGCUGUUAUUUUCACUAUUACAAAACUCACCUAUCACAUCAAAAAAUAAAUUAAAAUUAGAAUAAAUAAAUAAAAUAUAUAAUCAUAUAGAACUAUCAUUUAUGAUUGAAGACGUGUUAUAUACUCUCACAGAUAUGAGACACUUAUACGACAUAUACAUAAUUACUAUAUUCAAUUAAUUUAUUUUCUUAAAUUAUUAUUGAUAUCAAUAUAUCGUUCUCCGUGUCAUCUUCGAUGUUCGUAUUAAUAUUUAUAUUGUGUAGUUUUUUAUACAUUGCGUGGGUAAAAAGUUAUACACUUUCAAAAAUCACAACCAAUCAAAUAAAUAAUUUGAAAAAUAAAUAAUUUAAAAAAUUAUUAUUAUUAAAGUUAAAUAUUUAUAAUGAUUUAAUAAAUUUUGUUGAUUAACAUUAUAAAAUAUUUUUAUAUAUGAAUUAAAUUCAUAAAAAAAAAGAUACUCUAGUACAGUAGUAUACUAUCUUAAUACAAACAUUAUGAAAAUGAAAUAAUUAAUACUCUAGUUAGAAAUGGUGAAAAGUCCAAACUACUAGACCUAACCCUAUUGUCCAAAAUACCAACAUCAAAUUCUAAACACUAGUUUUCCAUUUUUAUGAAACAAUGCCAAACCUCAUUGUCCUUCAGCUAGGUGUGGGACCAUCACUAUAUAAAUAAGACAACAUAUAGAUCGAUAUCAUAAUAUCAUCACUUUGUUAAUUACUUAUAAUUACAAUUUGCAAAAAAUACAAAAAAAGCUAUAACAUGACCUGAAUUGAAAAUGACAAUAGGAUAUAAUAGAUCAAGUUGUUGUACUAGAUAUGAUAAUAACUUGCCCAUACUGAUUCAUGCAAAGUGACACAUGUUGCCAACUCAAUUCACAUUCACUUACUCACACUCACACAGAAACCAUAAUCAAACACCUCAAACUCAUGCCCAAAAGCCAAGCAUUCCCUUAGAAGUUCAAGGGCAACCACCCAUCAUACAUUCCAAUAAAUCAUCAAUUUUGUCCCUAAAUUACUAUUUUUUUCUUUAUUUUAGUUUUUUAAUAGACAAAAUUGUAACUAUUGUUAGAAAUUCAGACAUAUAAUUACGGGUUUUAGAUUCGAAGUUAAAGAUAAAAUGUUCAAUGUAAUAAUAUCAGUAUUUAUUAAUUGAACUAAAACUUAAAGAGUCUUUAAUUUUAUUAUUUAACAACUAAAAUAUACUAAAAAGUCCUUAAACAAUUUUUCUAUCCAACUAUCUAGUCUCUCUGUUAUUAGUCCGUUUGGAUAUUUAUCAAUAAUCCUAUUUUAAUAAAAAUAGAACAAUGUAAUAGUAAAAUAUUAUUAAAAAAAACAAUAUAAAUGCAGUUUUGAAAUAAGGUUGUUAAAAUCGCGAGUUAAUUCUUAAAAACGUACGGUUCCUUGAGUUUAGGUAUUAAUUUUGAGUUCAUUCUAAUGUAAACUCGAAUUUUAAUAAACUCGAAAAUGAAAUCGAGUUUACUUAACUAGACUUGCUUUAAACUCGAUAAACGCGAGUAAACUCACAUAAUUUUUUUAAUAAUUUUUUUUUUUUAUCUUUUUGUUAUUUUCAAUGAACUCAAUAAACUCUAUUAAAUUCAUUUGUAAUUUUUAACAAAAUAUUUUAUUUUUUCAUAUCGGUUUUCACUUUCAGUUUAGUUUGAUUUUGUUCAUGUUACUUUUUUUUCUUCAUAUAAUUGAGUUGAAAUUUUGAAUUAUUGAGACAUUUAUUGUAUUAUAUUUUUUUUUUUAUGAAUGCGAAGAAUCAAACUCCAUAAAAACAAAACAAAACAAAGCUAAACAUUCGUAGGAAAUGCAACCAAAUUCUUUUCGACCAACACGUUGAGAGAGAAGAAAUCAGAAAUUGUAUAAAUAAACACAAUCGAUUUGAGAAGAAAAAAGUUUGAAUUUAACAAAAAUAUAUAUUACUUGAUUGACUUCACAGUAGAGAUGAGAUACUUUAAAGUGAUUCAACGUACAAACUUCUUUGUUAUACGAGUGGCAAUACAAUAACAUAAAUAUCUAUGACAAACAAUUCCUUAAAUUUAAGGACACUGAUACUUGAGAAUCUGAUUUGAUAUCAAUGUUUCUAAAACCUCUGGAAAAGAUCAACUUCAAACCAUUAUAUAUCCUCCAAAGUUAUGUCAUUAAUAUAGCGUACAUCCCUAAAGCAUAAGAGUAGUCAAAAAUAAAAAAAACACCAUUGUAGCCAAAAUGAGUUUACUUAAACCAUUAAUUUUGACAACCUAGGUUUUGAACCCUUAAUUUUAGUCAUUUUGCAAUUUUAAUUCCUUCGUUUGUUUUUUCACUUUUGAUCUCUUAUUUUAAAAAUUUCAGAUAUUUUAUCCACCCAUGAAUUUGAUGUUCAAUUUUAAUGAUAAUGGCAAUUAAAUAGGGUGUUAUGGAUCUGUUUCCAUGUAUAUGCGAAUACAUAUAAUUUUUUUUAAGUCACUUUAAUAAAAUUUGAAGAAAAAAAAAGUUUUUAAAUAAAAAACAAGUUAAAGUAAAUAAAAAAAAAUUGAAAAAAAUGGAAAUUGAAUAGGAAAAAUAGAAGACGAUGAACCUUAAAAUCAGAAUUUCCCUAUCUAAAACCAUAUCUAUAUACACAAGAUAAUAAUGAUAAUGAUCAUGUUUAAAAUCACAAUAAAUUUGUAGAAGGUUCAAAAUUACAGUAGCAUAUAUGAGAUUAUGCAUAACUUAUCAUUAAUUCAAACAAACUCAAGAAUAAUAUUCUUAAUAAAUAAUUAAGUAGUUAUAGGUGAGGAUAUCUUUUCUUUAUCAUUCAUUUGUUUAUAAUUUCUUUAUUAGUUACAAGUAGUUUUACCUUUAUUAUAAUUAGCUGAGUUUGUUAAGAGAUAUUUAGAAUUAUUCAUCUUACAUAUAAUUUCUCAUUUUUAAUCUUUUAUUCGAUCGACAAAUGUAAUUAUUUCCGAAACUUUUUAUUUUAGUUAUUCAAUAAAUAUAGUAUCAAUAAUAUAGUUUUUCCUUUUAUUCCAUUUGAUUGAAAUUAUUUAGAAAUCUUCCAUUUUAUCCGUUCAACAAAAUUUUCAUGAACUCAAUUGAUGAAAAGAAAAAAAUUAAAGAAGCGUAGAUUACCGAAGAUGGAGGAAGUGAUAUGCUAACAUCAACGGUAUGAAGGAAGUUAUUAAGGUUACGGUCACAACAAUCGUUAUCAUGUGCUUCUUCCACACCAUAACCAAGUAUGCCACGUAAUCCGGCUUCGUUUAUCGACCGGAUCCUCCGGCAGGCAGCCACGGCAUCUUCGCCGGCGCAAAAAUGUUUGUAGAAUGUCUUUCGAGUCACGGCCAUCAUGGCAUCCUUCAAAACUCCCGUUUGAAAGAGUUUUGACUUCAUUGUCCACACUCCAAGGUCCACCAUGGGACCCAUUGCGGUCGCAUGGAGAACUGCAGAGGAGUGAAGGAGGGUAGAGUUGGAAACCGAAGAGAAUAGUUUCUCGGAAGACUUUAAGUCAAUUGAGUGUGGUGUUGUGGUGGCCGGAGAUAGUUGUUUCUCGAGAAUUGAAGGCGGAACUACUACGGAGGGGUGAGGUGAGUUAAGAGGCUUUGUGGUGGUGUUGUAGUGGAAGUUGUUGAGGAUUCUUUUUGGAGGAACCACACGGUUUGCCAUUCAAAUUACAAAGAUUUUAUUUAUUUUUUAUGAUUUUAACUAUUGUUGUUGUGUUUUUGUUUUAGUGGAAUGAAAAGAUACAACACAAAUUAACACGUGAUGUUUUUCUUCUUUGCAAUGAGGUUAGGGAGUGGUAGUUUAAUAUAUAUAGCUAGGCGAUUUGGUUAAGGAAAAUACUACUACACUAUACAAGCUUGAAGUUGGACAAGUGCACAUAAUAAAAUAGAUUGGGCAAGCACAUGUGAAUCGUGUCUAAAAAAAUUAAAAUAGAUUUAAAAAAUAAAUCUUAAAUUUAAAUAUGAAAAAAAUAAUAUAACCAUUAAUUUAUUAAUAUUUAUUCCAUAUGAAAUAUUUUAGAACUCACUUACACACUUGACAACAAAAUCCAUGACAACUUUCUCAAUGGACUAUUAAUCUACAAAUUAUUUAUAAAAAUAUGCACCAUAUUAUCCACCUUUAUUUUACAUGUCAAAAUUAUUUGCAUAAUAUAUUCACAUGAAUUCAUGAAAUGUACUUUCAUUUUAUACACAUCACAUCUUAUCUCAUAUUAAUAUAAUAUUUUCGUUGAUAGGAUUAUUUAUUGUUUCCUCACUAGUUGAUAGGUACCAACCAAUGAAAUAAAAUACUUUGUUAAAAAUAUAUUUUUGUCUUAUUGCAUUCACUCACUCAAAGCAUGAGAAUCGUGCAAUAACUUUACAGAAACAAAUACUUUUUCCAAGCUAAUCAAGACUCAAUAAUAGUUUAUUUUAGAAUAUCCCUUAUAAAAAGUAAAUUCUCUAGUAUUUUAAAGUUUGAUGGAUAUCAAUACUUUGAAUGUAAGUUAUUUAAAAUAAUUAAACAUAAAAAAUAUAUUAUAUUAAAUAAUUAGAUGUUAAAUAUUAUACUCAAUAAAAUUUUAAAGAAUCAAAAUAUUGUACUCUCUCAUAAUCAAUAUUAUUGUAAUAAAAAUAAUUAUUUCAAAAUAAAUAUCAUUAUAAAUUUAAUUAUUUUUUUCAUAUAUUUUAUACGUAAUUUUCAAAUGUUAUUAUAUUUUAUAUUGGUAAUGAUAAAAAAUCCACUAAUAAUUAAAAUGAAUAAUUUAAUAAAAUGAUUUAUUUUUAUAAUUAUUAUACUCUUUUAUAUACAUAAAAAAAGUUUAAACCACAUAGAUAGAGUAAAAAUUAAUAUUCAGUCCUUUUUUUUUAUUUACGAAUUUCAAUCUAUUCCUUAAUACCAAUUAAAUCCAAGGAAUUCAUACUUGGAUAAGUAGGGAUGAGAAUAUGUUAGGCCGUCCGUAAGGGGCUUAUGGUCUGGCCUACUUAUGGUCUGACUUAUUUAAUAAAAAUGCUAGACUCAGACCGUUUUUAAAGUCUAUUUAUUUAAAUAGGUCAGGCUCAGGCUUAUAAAAAAGUCUAUUAGGUCUGACAGACUGGCCUAUAUAUAUUUUAUUAUUUAUUAAUAUUAUUUAUUAUUAUUAUUAUAUUAAUAAUAUUAUUUCCUAUUUUAAAUUCUAUCAAUUAAGCAAUUACUCAUCAUUCCGUAUUCAGUAGUUGUUCCAUAUUCGGUAGCAUUUCAUAUUUGGUAGUCAUUUCAUAUUUGGUAGUUGUUCAAUUAGUCAAUCACUCAGUAGUCUUCCAUAUUUGUUUAAGAGGUAAUAAUGAGUGUGUUUGUUUCAAAAAAAAAAAUCUAUUAUUUGACACAAAAAAUUAUUUUUAGGGUUUAAAGGAUGUUUAUUUCAUAUUUUUUAAAAACUAUUUUAAAUAGGCUUUUAAAUAGGCUUCUAGGCUAGACCAGACUUUUAAAAAGGUAAGACCAGAACGAAAAAAAAGCCUGUGCUAGACCGUAGACCGGACUUAAGCCUAAAAAAUAAAUCUUAGGCCAGACUCAAGCCUUUCAAAGCCUAGUCUGACUUGACAUAUUCCCACCCUUAUUGCCAAGUGAGACUUCUAUAUAUAUAUAUAUAUAUAGCCACCCUCUCUUUAAUACUCUAUUUUCAAUACCUAUUAGAUAGUGAUAGAAAAACGUCAUUAGCACUAUAAUAAUAAAAUUUCAAUGAAAAUGAUGUUCGAAAGUAUUUUCUGUCAAAAGAGUCUCUAUUUUAAUUUCGUACUUUUCUAAGGAUUUUAGCAGCAAAACUUAUAUUUAUUAAUUAUAAAAAAAAUGAAGGAGAUAAGGUUGGAAUUUAUGCUCCAAUAUAUUAAAUAUUUCUAAAACUAAGAGUUGUAUUUAUGAAAAUCUUAACUUAAUAUUUAAUCAUCUUUUUUUAUAUAAAAAAAACGUUGAUACUCAGAAACAUAAUCAACUAUAAAAAUACCAACUUAAAAGGCUAUUUUUUUUCUCUACAAAUAUAUUAAAUUUUGUUUUCAAUAUUUUCAAAAUUUUGUCUUUUUCCAAUUAUUAAUUUUAGUCUCCGUAUUUUAACGAAAAUCUAUAUGACAAAUGUCUUAGUGACUUUUUUAUGAUGUGUGAUUGUUAGGAUCUUAAAAUGUCAUUAACUUAACAAUUUAACCAUUGAAAAAUUUAAUUUAGUCAUUUAUUCUUUAAUUUAGUGUUAUAGAUAAAUUAAUAAAGAUUUAAUAAAUUUUGAAUAUUAAAAUAUUAUAUUUAAACUAAUUGAUGAAUGGUAAAAAGUGUCUUGAGUAUAGUUUGUACAGUCCAUUAAAAUUAUUGUAGAUUAUAAUUAUUCACACAUUUUUAACUAAUAACAAAUUAAUGAAUUAAUUAUUAAUUAUUAAUUAUUAAUUAUUAAUUAUUAAUUAUUAAUUAUUAAUUAUUAAUUAUUAAUUAUUAAUUAUUAAUUAUUAAUUAUUAAUUAUUAAUUAUUAAUUAUUAAUUAUUAAUUAUUAAUUAUUAAUUAUUAAUUAUUAAUUAUUAAUUAUUAAUUAUUAAUUAUCUUUUAAGUACUAAUUCAGGAAUAAAAAUAAUCUUUUAAUUAAUUAACUAUGGUAAACAUUUGAUAAUUGUCAUGUUUUGAAAGGUAAUAGUUGUGAUUUUGAUUACAUCAAUGUUGGAAAAUUAUUUCAAAAUUUCCAAGUUGGUAAACAACUAAUAGUAGCUGAAAAGUAUAAACCAAGUUCAACAAUUAGCUAGCUCCAUUAAUUUCCACGAAGAUGCUCCAAUUUUAAUUUUCUAAGUACAAAAAUGGAAAUCCAAGCUGUAUAUUCUAUUUUAUCAACACAAAAAAAAAAUUGCAUAUAUAUUCCAUCGCCAACCAUUGCUGAAUUUAUGGGAUUCUAACAAAAGGAAGAUUCCAUCUCCUACAUAAACAACAUGAGCAUGUGAUGCUUCUAACGAGAAUCCAACAUCCUUGGAAAUUUUUCAAAGUCAUCUUAGAAUAUGUUAAUUAAAUAUUUAAAAGUAAACCAAGAAUAGGCAUUAAAAAACGUGUGUUUGUUAGUACUUUUGAUGAGAUAAUUUAGAAAAAUAGGAACACGUUUAAAUUUAAAAGAUUAUCUUUGAUUGAAACUAUUAUUUAUAACGACCCCAAAGUCAAACCAUAUGCAUAUUCCAGAUCCAAUUUUUUGGGCACGACCAACUUACAAGUGAAGUCAAAACAACUAACAUUAUUCAUAUUAUCUUUAAUAGUCUCUUUUAAAGAAGAAACUUUUUAUUAGUAUAAACCAGUUAUUAACCUCUUUUAUUCCUUUUUACCCAUUUGAGACCAAUUAUUUGGUUUUGUUUUGUUUUAGAAAAUAUGAUUUACUAGUUUAUGUGAUUUAUUUUAAUUUGUAUUAUUUAAUUUAUUUGUAGAGUUGAGUCUGCUCAUUGGAGAUUGAAAAACAUGAUGCAAACUAAUUUUGGUGAUUUGUGUAAAAGUUGGGAUGUUGUGAAUAUGAUGUUGAACAACCAAAUAUGUAUCAUUCAAUCUUCUUUUCAGAAAACCAUCAAGGAUGUUGAAGACGGGUAUAAUUCAUCAUUCUUUCAAAGUCUACAUCAUUAUGUAUCAAGGAAAUGUUUUUAAAAAAUUGACAAACAAUUGCAAAGAGUGAAGAUUGUAGGUACUACCAAAACAAUAUGUGGUUGCUCAAUCAGAACAACCCAUGGAUUACCAUGUGCUUGUGAGUUGGCAAAGUUGCAGAUAUCUGGUAAUGUUAUCCCUUUAGAUAGCAUUCAUGUUUUUUGGAGAAAGUUAAGCCUUGAGAAUGAAUUGGAGGAUGAAGAAUCUUUAUCAGAUUAUGACUUUUUAGAAGAGUUAGAAGCAAUGAAAGCGUACAUGAAGAAACACGAUAUUGUAAGUCAAUGGAUAUUCAGGGAUAAGGUGCGUGAAGUUGUAUUUCCACAUACAACAUCAAUACUUGCACCACCAGAGAAGGUGAGAACCAAGGGAGCAAGUAAAAAGAAAAAAGAAUUUGAUAUUCCUCGUGAUCCUUCAUAUUGGGAGUAUGUUGAUGCCUCUCAAGAAUCUGCAAAGCAACCAUCUCAACGUUUUGCACGGCAACCAUCUCAUUCAUCACAGUAGGGUGUAAACACUAUAUCCUCGAGCAACAACGCAUCAAGUCUCUGACGAUAUGCCAACAAUCCACCUUCAACAACAUGUUUUGCAGUCCACCUACAUGUUCUUGGAAGAUGUGUAGGAACCGCUCCUCUAUCACCCCGCUUACAGAUCCUAGGGAAGUGUUCAUAAAUCCAACACUGCAACAUAAUUAACAUCAUAAAAUAACAUAACGUAAUAAUUAAAUUAAUAAUUAAAUUAAUAAUUAAAUAAUUAAAUGACACAACUUAAUAUAAAUGAUAUAUCUGUAGUAGGGUCAUGUAACCUCUUACCUGUCGAGUGUCGUGGACAGCUCCAUCUCUCAGAUUGUCAUAAAGGAAAACCAAUGCCGCGGAAGCCCACGAGUAGUCCCGACAACGAUAUAAAUCAAUAAAAAGAGUAAUGUAUUUCACCUCAACACGUGUAUGUGUUUUAUCAGCGAAAAUAGUGCAGCCAACUAAAUGCAACAGAUACGUUCUAGCCGCACACUCAAACUAGUUAGUUUGAAUGAGACAACUAUAUAAAUCACGCAACCAUUUCAAUCUAUAUUGGGCACAUUUGUUAUAACUAAUCUCAGCACAUGCUUCCUCCCAUGUUGCACUUAAGUACUCAUGUGCAGCUCUUGCAGCAUUAUUAGUGUUCAUAUUCACAGGUGCAUCAAAAAAUUUACCAUGUGGUGAGAUGUGAAGAAGAGUCGCGACGUCGUCUAAAGUGAUAGUCAUCUCUCCAAAUGGCAGAUGAAAUGAGUUGGUCUCUUUGUGCCAUAUUUCAACAAAUACGGAUAUCAGACCAGCAUCAGCCAUAGUGAGGUAGCCUGAAGAUAGAUGCAUCAGCCCAGAUUCCUGAAUCCAAUGGUCUAAAAGAUCUGGCAGAGGAACUUCGGCAAACUUCUUCAAUUUCAAUCCGUGAGUAAUAACUUUCAAUGAUCCACGAUCCUACAAGUAAUUACAGAACAAUUAAUUAAUUAAAUAAACUUAAACAUAAAUAUAAUUAAACAUAUAUAUAAAUAUACAAUUAAUUAAAUAAAAUUAAAAUAAAUAUAAUUAAACAUAUAUAUAAAUAUACAAUUAAUUAAAUAAACUUAAAAAUAAAUAUAAUUAAACAUAUAUAUAAAUAUAAAAUUAAUUAAAUAAACUUAAAAAUAAAUAUAAUUAAACAUAUAUAUAAAUAUACAAUUAAUUAAAUAAACUUAAAAAUAAAUAUAAUUAAACAUUUAUAUUAAUAUACAAUUAAUUAAAUAAACUUAAAAAUAAAUAUAAUUAAACAUAUAUAUAUAUAAAUAUACAAUUAAUUAAAUAAACUUAAAAAUAAAUAUAAUUAAACAUUUAUAUUAAUAUACAAUUAAUUAAAUAAACUUAAACAUAAAUAAACAAAUAAUUAAAUAUAAUUAAAAAUAAAUUAACAUAUACCUCUCCUUCCCAUAGGCUCCGAGCCAAGUGACGCUCAUAUUGUGUCAACACACGUGCACCAUCGGUCCUCCGGGAAAUCCGGUUUGCUGAUCCAAAUCAUCAAUAUCACAAGGAUCAUCAAACUCAUCAGCAUGUGCAGAAGCAUCAUGAAUAUCAUCAGCUGCCUGCUCCAUCUGUGGAGGCUGAGGGACAUCCUCCUCCAUAUGUGCAUGCUCAGUAGACUCAACAUCAUCAUCCUGGACCUCCUCUUGUCUUCGACGAUGCUGCCUAAUUGGACGAUUUGCUUCGUUGCGUCUUCUGUUUGAUAUUGUUGGUGGAAUUCUCUCUACACCAUCACCUCUGUCACCUAUCAAGUUGCGACAAAACACAUCUCUCAUUCUAGGCACUGCAAUAUAUCAAUAUAUCAGUAUUAAAAACAAAUGGAAAAAUAUUUAAAAAAAACCAAAAAUUCAUUUCGGAAGUUUCACUGGAUAUGAAACUUUCGAUAUGUUUCGAAACUUUGCAUGCAUCUCAAAGUUUCGAAACCUGUUUUUUCGAAACUUUCAGAAUGUUCAAAGAUUUUACGCUUCGAAACUUUUGCAUUGCUCAAAACUUUUGAAAGUUCAUAUUUCGAAACUUUCGUAUUGCUCAAAACUUUCGAAAGUUUGAACUUCAAAAGUUUCAAGUUUAACGAAAGUUUUGAAAGUUUGAUAUUUUCUGAAAAAACUAUGUUUUCGAAACUUUCAUAUUCAAGAAUGUGUUCCGGAACCAGAGCUAAUUCAAGAAUGUCAAGAAUGUGUUUCAGAAUACUUUUGUUAUCGUAACUAAGAUCUGUCUUCGAUGUUGAUAUGAUCUUUCUAUCAAGAUAAGAUUGCUAGGCUUUUCUUUUGACCAAGAGAACGAGCUAGACAAAAAAGGUACCACCGAAAGAAGGUCGACCUCACCGCCUUUGCCCACGUCAACCUCUCAAUCCACUUCCAAUCAUAACAGUGCACAACAGGGAUGAGCUGUCCGAUGCCAUUUUAAGCAAUGGUGCUUACUUUAAGGCAAAAGUUCCUCAUGGUGUUGCCGGUUGCCGGUCGCCGAUCACUCAUUCUCGCCAUCAUGAAGCGUCGCAUUGCGCUUGUCCGGAUUCCUUGAAGCAAGCAAGUUUGAUCACAGAUGUUAGUAUUGUAAUUAGUGAAAAUGAUGAAGUCUCUGUUUCUUUUUUAUUGUUUGAGUCUGUUUAUGGGUUAGUGUGGCCAUGGAGUCUAUAAUAUGUGUGGGAAAGUAAUGUGUGUCUAUGUUUUUUUUUAUUGUUUGAGUCUGUUUAUGAGUUAGUGUGGCCAUGGAGUCUAUAAUAUGUGUGGGAAAAUAAUGUGUGUCUCUGUUUCUUUUUUAUUGUUUGAGUCAUGUGUUGAGUCAUGUUUAUGGGUUAUUAUGUAUGGGUGUCAUGUAAGCAUAUUUGAUUAGUUAUUAAUAUAAUGUUUAAAUAUUGUGUGUAAACUUGUUUGGUAAGCCUAAGAGUUCACUGAGAUAUUUCAAAUUUCUUGUGUUCUGUUCUUAUCGUUUUACUGCAUCAAAUUCUACACAUAAUUGUUCAUUCAUUUUGUUCUUGCUUUUAAAAGCUCAAUAUUUGUUAAUUAACUUUAAAUCAUUUAUUUGAUUACUAAAAAAGAUGAAUAAUCAUUUGAUUUGUGGUAAUUUCUGAAGAUUAGCCCAGCAAAUAGACAUAUUCUAGAUUUGCCUUCACUGAAAUUUCUUUACCUUGGAAUAGGACUUACAUGGAAAUUUCUUUAACUCAGUGUAAAUUGUUUUGAAAAUCUCAGUGUAAAUUGUUUUGUUAAAUUGACAUUAAUUAUGAAUGAGUUUGGUUGUGUAAUAUAAGCCUAAGAGUCCAUUUACUCAACAUUUUUAAUUUAACAUAACCUUUUUUUGUAUGUAUUUAUGAAACUGUCAUUAAUCAAAAUAGCUUCUCUGUGUUUUUCUGGGAAUGCAUAUUCACUCACUGACUCUACAUUUUUAAUUUGAUACUAUAUAAGGAAUACUGCUCUGCUUUGAUUCACGUCGUUCUCAUAGAAAAUUUGGUUUAUUCCUCGUAUUAAAAUUGACGUAAUCUUCUUAAUAGCAUAUAUUUUCAUGAGAAUCAAGUCACAUUGAUCUCUCUACCUUCAUUCCUUCCUUCACGCGGAAAUGACCCGUAUCAUUACCCGUAGCAUAUAUUUAAUCAUUACCGUAUCAUUACCCGUAACAUAUAUUUAAUCAUUACCGUAUCAUUACCCGUAACAUAUAUUUAAUCAUUACCCGUAUCAUCAUUUUUAUUUUUAUCUAGAAAUGACCUAAUAGCCCCCAUAUAUACUUUGAGAUUUAUUCCCCCAUUCGUCACUCUUUAGUAAUUUUGAACUUUGUGAUUUGUAUAUUGAUUUUGAACUUUGUGAUUUGUCUAUUGAUUUUGAACUAUGCUUUUUUCUAUGUGCCGAGUUUGAAUCUAUCUUGUGAGUAUGCUCAUCAAUUUUUAAUUAUGACGCUAUGGUUCUAGUUUAUGGUGUGGUGCCUAUUUCUAAUCUCACAUGAAGUUUAAAGUUUGUCAACUUCAUUAUGAAUUCUUGAACACGAAGAAAAUGAUGUAUGUGGUGUGGCGCUGAAUAAACUUAGGGCAAUCAUACACAUUGGAAAAUAGUAGUUUGUCUAUUUGUUUAUGUUUUUGUAGUCACUGCUUUAAGUAAAUACUUCAAAAUGGUGCUUAAGUCUUUACGCAAAUUACGGAGCCUUUUAAUCUAUAUUCUCUUUUUCAUUAUCGGAAUAUUGCUCUUGAUAAAAACAAAUGUGUUAAGUUAUGUUCUUCCUUGUAUAUAAUUUUGAUUUUAUUAUGAUUGAUAUAGGAUUGAGGUAUCCAUUCUUCAGUUAAUGGGCUCGCUGAGUUUUGACAAAAUUUGACCAAAAAUAAGCUUUGACAAUCAAAGGGUUGCUGAGUGGGUCAUUGUUGUUUUCAAUCGCCUCCGUCAUCCUCCGUGUCACCGUCUUCAACAUCCUAAAUCUCAUACCAUUCAACAUCCUGCAUCCAUGGGGAAGAAAGGAGGAGGCAAAAAACCGCCAAAAUCAGAAAUAAGGUCUCAAAACCCUGUUACUUUGAGGGAAGAAGCAACUGGAAAAAUAAAAAAGAAGCCAAUGACUAACACCAAGUCACAUUUGAGAAUUGAACACUUAAAAAAGCUUGCAGUGUGGGCCACCACCGACCCUCACAUACCGUCUUUGGGAGCCUUCUACAGGCAGCAUUUGGCCACCGUUUCAGAGGCUGCCGGAGUACCUCCUGAUCCUUCUUUAAUCACUUGCCAAAGGUUUGCGUUUUUACGUAGAGUUUCGUUUUGCUUUUUCUAUCCUUAUUUAGUUUUCCUCUUGUGUGUUUCAAUGCCAUUAUUAGGUUUUAGUUGUCACUUUAUGAAGCACCAACAUAGACACUACCGCUAACAUGCCGAGACCGGGAAUGAUUUGAAAAAUUGAAUAUAACAUGUGUCGAUGUUGUGUUGGUGUGACACAUUUUCAAUAUGAAGUGUUGGUGCUAUAUACUUGUUUGGCUUACUUACCAUAUGUUUAGAAGUGUUUGAAUUAUUAUGGAUGAGGUAUUCUAUUGAUUCAUUUAUUAACAAUAUCAUUUGAUAGAAUCAAAGAUCAUGUACAUGAUAGCUCUUUGGGUAUUUGUAUUCUUACAAUUUAUGUGAGUUGUAUCUCGAUUCCAAACAAAAUUGAACUCAAUUAAUAUGAAUCUUGAUAUAUGUAUUGUUGAAUCAUUUGUUAACAAUAUAAUUUGAUAGAAUCAAAGAGCAUGUGUGAGACAAUUAUGCAGUUAUUUGUAUCUUUAGAUAUAUGCGAUGCAUGUGAGUCGUAUCUUAAAUUCAUAACAACACUGAACCUUAUUGCCACAACUCUUCGUAUUUAUUAUAGACACAAAUCUCAUCAUGAAUCAUGAUUCAUUUUGAUGAUUCUCAACUUGCCCAUGAACUUUGUGUAGUGAACCCCUAAUUUUGUCAUCUUUGUGUAGCGAACCCCUAUUUUUGUUAUCUUUGUGUAGCCAACAGCUUUUAUCUUGUUAUUUUGAUUUAUGACUUAAAUUUUGAAGCAUUUUUGCCUGUGCCAUUUGUUUGUGCUUAUAAUGAAGGAUUGUAUUUAUUAUGGACAGCUCAAGUAGCUUAAAAUUUUUUUUUACUAUCGUCUACAUUUGUUGAUUUGUUCAAAUAAUUUAUUAUAUGUUCUUCUUACGUUUUCUUUGCUAUUUGAUUGUUGGAAAUUUCGCAAGAUUCGUGAAAUAUGUUUAUCAUUCUCUACAGGUGCGAGACUGUUCUUCAUCCCGACUUUAAUUCAACUGUACGGAUUGAGAAGAAUAGAUCAAGGGUCAGGAAUAGGCACAAGAAGUCUGGCAACAUCGCUCAAAACAAUAUAGUGUACACGUGUCAUUUCUGUUCACAUUAGAAUCUCAAGAGAGGUACCCCUAAGGGACAUUUAAAAAAGAAUCAUCAUUUACAUCAAACAACAAUCACAUAUGAAUGGCUAAAGGAGCUAUAUAGAAAACAUAUAUCAAGACAUUACAUCAGUUUUUCGUUGAAAGACAUCUUUUUAAAGUAAGCUAAUUUCAUUAUUAAAAAAGUAACUUUUAAAAUAAUUUGUAUUCAAUGUUGGCAUGAAAAUAAUGGACGAAUUUUUUUGGUCAAAUUUACUUAUUGGUUUUUAUUUGGUCAAAUUCUUCUUCCUUUGACUUUUUCAAAAGUGAUCUUAUACUGUCAGCUCGGUAUAGUUUUCAGGUUGUUAGUAUAAUGUUGCCUAUGUGAGAUUUUUUAUUCCUUUUAUUUCAUAUUUUGCAUCUAUUGGAGAUGGUAGCAAAGGAAAGAAUUGUGUCACAUUAAUUGGGCACUAGGUUCUUUUGUCUAUUACAAAUAGCUCAAAAAUGAAUGUAUUUUCAAAAUAAACCCUAAACCUUAAAACGGAUAUUUAAAUCAAGAGUCACGUUUUUAAUCAAAAUUUGUCAAAUUCAAUAUGAUUUGAAUGUUUAAUAUUUGUUGAAAAAUAAAUUUGAGUUUUAUUUAUAAAAAAUUUAUUGUAUAAUUGUAAAAUAAUAAUUUGGAAGUGUUUAAAAAAUCAAAUCUCCGUUUUAGUACAUAAAGUGCGAUCCACAAAACAAAACAAAAAAUAUAUUGAAUCCAAUGAGUUGUAAAAGAAUUUAAGAUUUCACAUUAGAAAUUGAUUAUGGGAUUGAUUUGUAAAACAAACCAACAAUCUCACAACAAUUCAAUCGUUUAUAUAUUCAUGCAGAAAUCUAAUAUAUUAAUGAGAUUUUUUACUUGAUAUAUGGAUGAAUUUGUUUUGACAGUUUAUAAGAAAAUAUUUUUGUAUAUACUAACAUAGAUUUGUUUCAUAUUAAAGAAACUUUCUAAAAGAAAAAACUUAUAUUUAGAUUUAUUUUAAUUAUAAAUAAUUUGAGUUAUUAUCUUUUAAAAUAUUAACUCUAAUUUUCCACUAUGAAUAAAGGUUUAGAGAAUAAGAAAAGAUAAUGAAAACAGAGAGAAAUAAAAACAUAACUUUUUUUAUAAAAUUGGUGUGCGCUUCUUUCUUUUUUUUUUUUUUUUUUUUGUUGUUGUUGUUGGAUUUUUUAUACUAUACUAUAUAUAACAUACAGCUAGCCUGAAUGCACCUGAUUAUUUAAGAAUUUUUUUUUUGGUGUUUUUCUUUUUAUAAUUAUUUUAAUCUUCAUGUGUCUAUUUUCUUUUCAUCAAUCACUACCUUAAUUUUUCAUUGGUUUUUUCAAGUUAAUUCAAUUGUGUUAAUUAUAUAGCAUUACUAUUUAUUGUGUUUAUAAUUUUUGUACUAUUUCUUCCGUUUUAUUACUUUCCUAUUGAAGUUAAUAUUUUUAUUACUGCUCAUUAAAAAUGUAAAUAUAUUAUAUAUGACAGAUCUAAUUCAUGACACUGCUUGUAUAACAUUUAAAAUUUUAAACACAAGGUAUAAUGGAUUUUCUGAAAUAUUAAAAGCUAAGAUUUUGUAAAAAAAAAAAAGAAACUAAUUUGAUAAAUAAAACAUUUUUUUAUUAUUAAAUUCAACCACAUGGAAUAGUGGAGUUAUUACAACCCGUUUAUGUCUCAGUCCAGACUCCCCUGCAUUGGAUCUUAUAGUCAGUUUUAUUUAUUUAUUUGUACAUCUCUAUCUACACCCCUAUAUUUAUAAUUAAUAAAAAAGUAUAAAUGGUAUCAACAAUAAACUAAAAAAUUCUAGACUAUUUUUUCUCUCAAAUUCACUCCGACCAAUUACUUGUCAUUUGAAUUGAUCAAAACCUCUCUCCCACACAAAAUUAACCACUUAAUCCAUUUUAGCAUUAACUUUGUCGAUUGUGACUUCGUUUCAUCACAAAGAGUUGGUUUUCUUUCUUUGGGUGAACUGUUUUUGGCUGAUUUUGAUCACCAUGUUUGUUGUCUCAAAAAAGUAGCGUUAUUUUUGAAUUUUUCUCGUCGAAACCUUCAAGAGACAUUACUCAUUUACGUUUUUCAAUGAAGUUGACAAGAGAUCCUUCCGGUUUGGUGAGACUUUUCUAUGUUUUUUUUUUCGUCGUUUUGACUCUAUUUUUUGCUCUUAAAAUUAUUAAUAAUUAUUUGACAUUGAUUUUAUGCUCCGCAUGAUUAAUCAGUCGAGUCUCGACAAUUUUGGGAACUCAAUGUUUAUUCAGAUUUGUCCGAUAUAUGUUGUCGAUCUGCAUUUGUUGUUAAAAAAUACUCAUUGAUUUAUAUGUUUGACAAAUAGUCGAAGUAUAAAAUUAAGUGAGUGAGCGUUUAAAUUUAUACGUAUAAUAUAUUAUGAGAUAACAAAAAAAAUCUUAGUUACCAACGAUUCGUUGAAACUCGCUAUAAAUGUAAAUAAAUCCAACUAUAUUAUUACUUAAAUUUUCUUGUUUUCAAAAUAAAAAAAUGAGAGAAUUAAUUUCAUUAAUGGUAUAAAUAUAAUAAAUACAACUCUAUUAUUACUUAUUCUUUCUUGCAAGACACUAACAUAUACCGAAUGUGUUGUACAUAUUUUUUAUUAAUGUUUUUUUUUAUAAUUAAUUUCGUUAACUUCUUUUUUCUGUCUAAACAUUGGUCGACCGAUUUUAUCAAUACGUGUCAAUGCUCUUCAAACACUAACAAUAAGUAGCAGCUUGAGUUAGAUGUUGAACUCGCAAGUGUUUGCUAGUGUUGCUCAAUUGCCAACUCAUUGUCAUCAUCAUUUUAAUUGAGUCAGUGUGUAUGUCUAAUGUGAUAUGAAUAACUAAGUGUGUCUUUUUAUUUUAUUUUUCUUUUUAUGGUGUGUGUAAAUAUAUUCGGGGAAAAUUAAUUGAAUCCAUUUUUACGUGUCUUGUGUGAUAUGAAGAAUUAAAUGACUCAAUAUGAAGUCUUAUUUUUUUGUUUUCUCAACUAAAUCCGUUUUCUCUUCUUCCUCGUUUGUAUGUCUCAAAUGUCAUCCAUCUCAAGGUGCAUCUUCUCUCUAAUUCAGUAUCUGUUCAAAAUCAAAUAAAUUUAUAAAAUAAAUUUUAAACACUAGAAUAUAAAAGUGUUUCAAACAUGUCUUAAGUGUUUUAAUCAGUAUAAAAAAGAAUUAGUAAACUAAUUUGGGUAUUGCAAAGUUGUUUCUUUGAUUAUAAUGUCUACAAAAACAUUUCUAAGACUAUUUUCAAUUUUUUUAUCAAAAUUAAAAAAUCAAACGAGAUGAAGCAUGUUGUAUACUAUCUUAAUACAAACAUUAUGAAAAUGAAAUAAUUAAUACUCUAGUUAGAAAUGGUGAAAAGUCCAAACUACUAGACCUAACACUAUUGUCCAAAAUACCAACAUCAAAUUCUAAACACUAGUUUUCCAUUUUUAUGAAACAAUGCCAAACCUCAUUGUCCUUCAGCUAGGUGUGGGACCAUCACUAUAUAAAUAAGAAUAGAUCGAUAUCAUAAUAUCAUCACUUUGUUAAUUACUUAUAAUUACAAUUUACAAAAGAUACAAAAAAGCUAUAACAUGACCUGAAUUGAAAAUGACAAUAGGAUAUAAUAGAUCAAGUUGUAGUACUAGAUAUGAUAAUAACUUGCUCAUCCUGAUUCAUGCAAAGUGACACAUGUUGCCAACUCAAUUCACAUUCAUUUACUCACACUCACACAGAAACCAUAAUAAAACACUUGAAACUCAUGCCCAAAAGCCAAGCAUUCCAAUAAAUCAUCAAUUUUGUUCCUAAAUUACUAUUUUUCUCUUUAAUUAGUUUUUUUAAUUGACGAAAUAGUAAAAAUUCAUAGGAAAUGUAACCAAACUCCUAUCGGCCAACACGUCGACGGAGAAAAAAUCAUAAAUUGUAUCAAAAACAUAAUCGAUCUGAGAAGAAGAAUGACAGUUUAAAUUUAACAAAGAUAUCUACUAUUUGAUUUACUUCACGACGACAUUAGAUAAUUUAAAUUAAUUUAAAUUUGCAAACAUCUUUUUUAUACGAGUGGCAAGACAAUAACAUAAAUAUCUAUGAGAACUAUUUUUUAAAUUUAAGGACGUUGCUACUUGAGAAUAUGAAAUAUUACUAUUAUUGUUAUAUAUCAAAAUUUUGUAUAUUGUAUUAAAUGAUCAUAUACUUGCUAAUACUUUUAAUAAUUUAAGAAUAUUGAUCUAUAUAAUUUCAUAUGUAUAUAUAGGCUUUACGGUCAAAGUGAGUUUAAUAAGCUACCAUCCCAAUGGCAGGCCUCCAGGCCAAGUGAUGAAGGCUCUAAUAUUUUUUAUAAUAUAUAUUCAAUGAGGGUGAAUAAAUAUAUAUUUUUUUUUUGUUAGAGAUAUUUUUAAUUCUUAGAAAAUUAAACUUUUAAGUUUAGUUUUUUAAAAAAAUUUAUUCACUUUUAGUCUUUAUUUUGAUUUUAUAGAGAGUCAACAUGUAUUAAAUUUUUCCUACUUUUAUUUCAAAUAAUAAAUGUUGCUUGUACAUAUUUUUUUGAGAGGUUUUUAGUCCAUUUUUUACCCAAUCUCUUUGUAUCAUAAAAGAAAAACACAUGUAUUAAAUUACUAAGAUGUAAUACAAAUAAAUGGAUUAACAUUUUGAAAGUUAACCAUUGGAUUAACACCAUAUUUUUCCUUUUAUCAAAGUUAGUUUUCAUCUUAUCUUUUUAAUUAAUGUAUUUGAUUCUCUUUCUCUUCUUCUCUUUAUCUCUCUCGCAUAUAUGUCUCUCUCAAAACCUAAAAUCCUAACCACCACUCUAUGUACAUUUUCGGCCACCACUAGUCUACAAUACCCUACAUUCAAUUUCACAUUUUUAAGUGUAAAAGAUUGAACGUCAUCAUUCUUUCUCUCAUCACCGGUUCUAGUAUUAAAUGUGUAAGUUCAAUUGCUUAUUUUAUUUUAUUUUACUAUAAUAUUAUUUUUUUUAUAAUUACUUUUCUUUAUCAUUAUAUUUCUUCUCAUUUAUUGAUCGUUCUCAUUUAUCAUCUCUAUUUUUUAUUUUCAAGAAUAUAUAUUUUAUGAUUUUUUUUACACACGUCAGAAGUGUAUGUAUUUUGAUAGAAUACUAAUAUAAUUAAUAUUUAAAACAUAUUGUAAAUAUUUUGUAUGAAAUUUGAUGUGUUUACGUGAAAAAAAAAAAAAAUUUAUAAUUAGAUGAAAUCAUCUAAUUUUGAGUUUGUCCGUUACUCUAUCAAUGAGAUGAAAACAGUGUGGGGGUGGGUCAAAUAAUACUUCUCCACAACGGUCAUCAAUAUUUAUGAAUAUUUAUGGGAUACCUUGUUUUCAGAUAAAUUAGUGAAUAUUUAGAAUUCAACAGACACGCAAAAAGAAAAUUAUCAAACUAUAUAAAAUUUUACUGUAUAUUAUAUUAAUAUUGUAUAAUUGUAUAUAUACUUUCUCUCCCUCUAUAUCUCUCUUCUUCUCUCUCAAUCUAUUAUAUUAUUGGUAACUUAAAGUGGUAUUCUUCACCUUCAUUCAAUAGGUAUCAAUUUAGCAUUAUUGUGGAUAAUUUCACUAAAAUCUACAAGUACAGGUAUAUUUUUACUUCCCUAACUUCAUUCGUAGAUCCACUCAGAAAAAAAAACUUAUCCAUUCAUAUUUUCGUCAUGCACCAAGACCAUAUAUGUCGAAGCAAUAAUGUGAAUUUUUAAUUUUCGACUUAGAGACACUAAUUCUGUUUGGCAAGUAUAAACCGUUGAUUUAUAGCUAAUAAGCUGGCAAGAUUUAAAUAUAAAAUUUUGUUUAUAAAACACAUAUAUUAGAUAAAGAAUGAAAAUAAUUUUAAAAUAGGUUUUUAUCUAAAAAAAACAUUUAAUGGUAUUACAUAAAUUAGAUUAUUUAAAAUUAGAGAACUUGAGCUGAGAGAUGUAUUAAUAAAUAUUCAUUAAAAAAGUCAUUACAUCGAUGACGAUAAUUAAAUCCACAAUUUUAUUAGUAUAAAUCAACUAUUUAUCAAUUAAACGAACUUUGUUAUUUUUAUUUUUGUUCAUUGUUAAUUAGACGGUGGUAAAACAUAAAUUACAAAUGCAAAUUAUGUUUUAAAUUUACUCAUUUAUAUAUUUAACUUUACUCAUUAUGUUCAUCCUAUGUGGUUUAAAUGUUGGUAACAUCUACCGUGAACCAAUCUAACCACACAUAUAUUUUGGUAAAUAUAUAGCUCUAGUAUUUGGAUAUUGCGAAGUGAGAACAAGUGUGAUUUUUCUUGUGUAUUUACACAUGGAACCAAAUAAAAGUAAAAUCUUAUAAUAUUUUUUUGGUGACAAAAUAUUUGCUUCUUCUUUGAAUCUGAAUAAUAAGAAUAUUUAGAAUUAAAACUCUUGUGAGAAAAAGUAUUACGGUCCAUAAUAUUAAUCUCUAUAGUUAGAUGCAAAUAAUUUAUGCAAAAAAAUCAUUUUUUCUUAAUCAAGAAAAAUAAAUACAAUAUUAGACACACUUAUUAUUUUGUAUCCAGUCGAUUUGCACAUUUCUUUCAGAGCUAUAUUAAGAAUUAAAUCCAUGUGUUAUUUUUUUGGUUGGGCAGUAUAGAAACAUUUUAUAUGUUGAUAAAAUGGACAUAAAAUUGAAGUUUUUUUAGGCAAUAAAUUGUGAGAUUUUAUUCUUUUUUUUUAUUAAAAGAUUUAUUCUUUUCAAUUGCUUAAUAAUGCAAUCUUUAAAACAUUUCAUUCGAUUCCAGGUAAAAUAGACAAUGUAAUGAAGGGUAUAAAAAUAUUACUAAAUAAGUCUUGAAUAAAUAAACAAUGGGUCAUAUUUCUUUCAAACUUGAAUGGUGACUAUGGUUGCACCAAAGGCUCAGUAUCUUUGGAUAUAAAAGAAAAGUUUAAUUUGAUACAGUUAGAUCCAAAGAAAUUGAUACAAAGGUGUCAGAGUCACAAUCUGGUCAACAUUGAAUUUUAAAACAAACUUUAAAUAAAAAUCUUGAUAAAAUGAAAUAGAGCAUUUUAACAUUAACAAUAAUUAAUUAUCAUAAUUUUAUUUAAAUUCUACAUUUUUAUUUUUGAAAAUACAAAGUAUUUUAAUUAAAUAUCAUUUGUUGUAUCUUUUUAUCUCUGUGAGAAUUUUUACUUGUUAUACUACUUAUACUUUUUUAGACCUAAAUAAAUACCAGUGUAAUUUGUAUCUAGUGUUAAAGUCAACAUCAACAAAGGUGUCGUGGUGUAGUUGGUUAUCACGUCAGUCUAACACACUGAAGGUCUCCGGUUCAAGUCCGGGCGACGCCAUAUAGUAUUAUGUUUUCUAAUUUUUCCUUUUAUAGUUUUUACUCUAACAUUUAUAUAAAAAAAAACAAUAUAAAGCCUCUUUAUACUGAAAUAUAUAUAAAUAAAUUAAAUCUGACACAACAAAUUGUUGCACAUGAAAAAGAUAGUUGAAAGUAGGGGUGGGCAAAAUUCAGUUAUGCUUGAAAGGGAGCACAACACAAAGAUGCUUUGGAAAGAAAUUGAUCAUUUUGCAUACCGUUUCCUUCAAUUCAAAUACCCCUGUCCUGUCCAUAUACUAGAUGGCACCAUUAUGGUCCGAUAAAUAUAAACCAUUCAUAUAAUAAUAAAAAAUGUAACGGUUCAAGAUUCGCGCGCAACUUUUUUUAUUUGUUAUCUGAUUCAACUUAGGUAAUCCAAUUAAACCAUAAUUCAGAAGUCUUAGUUUGAUCUUUAGUUAAGUUUUUAAAACAUUACUAGCAACAAGUAUAACAAGUGGAGUAUAAUUGAAAGGAGUGCAAAUCCGACAUAUACCGAUAACAUAAAGAAAUGUAAGAGAAAAUGCAUUAUAUCAUUGAUUCAUUGUUAUAAAUUUCUUUCUAAAAAAUAUUAAUGAAAAAAAAUUAUGCACUUUUAGUGUAAUCCAAUUUGACAUUGAUAGUUAAUAAUAAUGGUUGAUUUUAUCAUAUCACUAUAUAAUUGUAAAUGUAAUUAUAAAAUAAUUCUACAAUCAACGAUUUGUGUUAUGUUUACACUAACAUUACAAGUCAUUAAACUUAAAAAAUUAACAUACAGCGAAAUCAUUCAACCACACCUCUACUAUGAAUCUACACCCCCAUUUUUGUUAUCCACAUCACUCAAUAUUGCUAGCUACCCACACCUCCAUUUUUGCUAUCCACACCCCUCAAUUUUUUUGUAAAAAUGAAAUACCUAAAUUGGUCUUGCCUAUUUAUAACAUUUUUAACUCUAACCUCUUAUUUUAUCUUCAUCUUCAAUCAUCCUCAUUGUCUAUCAUUUAAAUCAGGUUUGCAUCAAUUGUUGUUCUUGUUCUUGUUUUUUUACAAUGUGUAGUUGUUGUUCUUGUUCCCAUGAAACUAUAUUUUUUCGUAAACCCAGAAACCUAUGUGAACUAAGUUCACGUACGUGAACUCAGUUGCGUAUGCAAACUAACGCUGCCCAGAAACCUACAUGAACUGAGUUUGAGUACGCAAACUCAGUUUGCGUAAAACCUACGUGAACUAUAUUCACGUAUGUGAACUCAAUUCACGUAGGUUCUAUGCAUACUUGGUUCAUGUACGUGAACUCAGUUCACGUAUGUUUUACGCAGACUGAGUUUUUUGGGCAGAGUGAGUUUGUGUAAGUGAACAAAUAUUGUGUCGCAACAUACUUGAUUGUGUUUUAAUUUUUAUUAUGAUAUGAUUAUGCAAAAAUGGUGCCACUAUGUUUACUGAUAGAGCAUGUUGAGUUAUAAUUAAUGAUACUGUUAGUGAUGAGGGUACUAUUGGUAAGGGUCAUCGUGUUAGACUAACCGCUUCUGCACGAGCUCAGAGUCUUGAGAAGCAACAUGAAGUGUAGAGGGAGAGGCGAACACAACGUAAACAAUGACGAUUACAACAUCAACAAAAGGCCCAACAGAAAGGGGAGACCCAACAGGAAGAGCAAACACAACAUCAGGCCCAACCAUAGCACCUAGAUAAACCUCCACAAACCGAUGGAUAUCCUGGUGGUCUGGUUGACAAGUACGCUCUUAUGACAUUUGGUGAUUAUGUGGCCACUCGACUUUGGGAUGAAGUGGUAAUUUUCUCGAUCAUAUUAAAUUUUUAAUAGUCGUUGUCAUAAUGUGUUUUAACUUACAUUUUUUCGUUUCUUUUGUUUUAGGAUCGCGGGGGAGCUAAGGGUACUUGAAGUUGGCUACUUGAAGUAUAUCAUCAGCGAUAUCGUGAUCAGUAUUGGGAGAUGGCUGCAAGGACGUUUCUACUAUUUUUAGUUGGUUGCACACUUUUCAGCGAUAAGAGUACCUUUGCAGUUAGCGUUGUCUACUUAGAGUGCUUUUGAGACCUCAACUCAUGUGGGGGAUAUGCAUGGAGGUGCUGAAAAUCUCGACGAAGUUAAUAUGCAUUAGACCAGAACAAUUUAUGGGUAUCUGACACUUUUACAGGUAAACUCAAUGGUUGUUUAUUGUGUUGAUAUGUUAUUAAUUCUAAAUUAAUGAUACUAUUAAUUCUAAACUAAUUAUAUGUGUUGAAGCUUGGAUCUAUGAGUAUUUCUCAACUUUAUGUGUAGAUUGUUGUAGACUUUGACCUAGAUAUAUUGAGGCCAAUCCUAUAGCACUUCGAUGGAAGCCGAAGAUGGAUAAGAUUUGAUUCUUCCAUUUAGGAAAUAAGCACAAUAAAUUGACUGCUUUUGAAAAAAGAUAUUGAAUUACGUUCAUCAAAGCAAGGUCUCUAUCAGUAACGACGACUUGAACUUCACCACUUGUAAUGUGUUCUUUCAACAUUUGUAGUGCCCACAUGAAGUUGUCAGCAUGCUCAAACUUUAGAUAUGCAAAUGCCACACAAAAUGUCAUUUCAGUAGAAGUAACACCAAUAAUCUCAAGUAACGACAUUCGAUAUCUACAAGUCUUGUAUGUGUUAUCCAUAAUCAAUAUUAUGUGAAAAUUAUUUACACGAGUGAUAACAUUUGGAUAGGUCCGGGAUAUGUCCCUCAACUCAUCUAAAUCAUCAACGUAUUUGUCGCGUUCCAUCAAUGUCAUUAGAUAUUGCAUUUAUGUUCUAUUACCUCUAAGUGAUGAACGAUAUGUUUGAUGUGCAUUGUAAACUUGUUUGAUUGUCAUUAAAGUUUCAAUAUUAUGAUCCUUUAAUGUGAUCAAUAUCAUGAUACUUAAUUGAGAUCACGUAUACAUGAAUUAUGAUCAUGUAUGUGUACCUUGUAACAUCCCACUUUUUCAAGAUAUUAACUAACAAAAUUCUAAACGUAAAGAUACAUAUUCUUUUAUUUAUUUAUUUAUUUAUUUAUAAGAUUAUCUUAAAUACUCGUUUACUUUAAAACUAAUUAAUAAAUUUUUCAAUUGUAUUUCAAAAUAAGGUUAAUAUGUUGGAGGGCUAUUAGGUAAUUUCUAGAUAAGAAUAAAAAUGAUGAUGUGGGUAAUCAUUAAGAUUAUUGUUGUUGGAAGAGCAGUAUUCCUAUGAGAACGGCGUGAAUCAAAGCAGAGCAGUAUGCCUUAUAUAGUAUCAAAUUAAUAUAAUAGAAUUAAAUACCUAUUGUUAUUAUUAUUGUUAUUAUAUAAUUAAAUUUUAUAAUGUGAAUUGAAUUUUAAAUUUAUUAAUCUUAAAUUUAUUAAUCUUAAUUUAAGCAUAGCAUGUAUAUUUUCAGAAUUAAGACAGUCAAAUCUCUAUACCUUCCUUCACGCGGAAGAAUAUGAGUGGGCGAUGAGUAGUAUAUAUACAUAGUUAUCCAUUAGCUUUUUACACUCAAUACACUAAACACAUUACUGCUGAAAAUAAUGGCUCCUCCUUCAUACACUGCUCAUGUCAGCACCGAUGCAAAAUUUGUUGAUGCCUUUGACCGACUUGUUCGAAGUGGGAUAAAACCCAAAGUUAGGUUCGUUGUUGGAAGAGAAAUCAGCUCUGCUUGUUACGACUACAUAUUUGAGCUGAUUGAAAACAACAAUGUGGACAAGGAUCGUAGAGAUAGGAUUGCUAAUCCACGUCCUGAGCAUCGCCCACGUCAACCUCCCAAUCCACUUCCAAUCAUAACAGUGCACAACAGGGAGGAGUUGUCCGAUGUCAUCUUAAGCAAUGGUGCUUACUUCAAGGCACAAGUUCCUCAUGGUGUUGUCGAUCGCAAGACCACUCAAUCUCGCCAUCAUGAAGUGUGACAUUUCGAUAAUGAAUACUAUAUAAAUGAGAUAACCCUUAAACAUAUUGUCUUAAAAUGUGAUGUUCAACCCACAUAUGUGAUUGCUCUUAGUCCAAUGUGAUGAUCCCCAACCCCUUAUGACCAACACAGAUGAAUAAAAGGAGCACAAAGAACCCAUCCACUUUUUAUUAAUCCUUAAUGUAAUUUGACAGGGCAUUUAAAAGUUCAUCAACAAAAUUAAAACAACUCACAAACAUAAAACAAGCAGCAUUGAAAAAGUUUACAAAUUAUAAAACAAAUAAUUUAAACAAACAAGAUGUAGGCACAUGUGAGAAUGUAAACUAAUCAGAAGACUUUUGGGACAUUUUUUUAGAUCCUUGGAAACUUGGUCCAUGGUUGGGCGAGAAGACUUCUACGGCCAAACACUUGGUGUUUUACUACCAAAAAAUAAAUCGUAGUUGAUCAUAACUUUGGACACUUGUGGAAAACUCACUCAACAAGUCUAACACUAGUACAAAAGUAUUUUGGAGCCUCCAAAUGCAUGUUAUUGUACUUCCUCGCAUUUCUCAUACUAGGUUGGUCUGCGACAUUAUUCGCUCAAGUAACACUAUAUGUGACAUCAUGUCAAAUGUAAGGAUCGUCUCCAAAUAACAAACACAGAGCAAAUAUACAUGCAUAUAUAGUUGUUAUAGUAAAAAUAUAAAUAAAUCAUAUAUUUCAUUUAACAGUAAAAAUCACAAAGCACAAAAGAUACAAAUCAACCAAAAUGCAAAAAUCCUAUUGUUGGGCUAUAUGUCAAUGCAUUAUUCCAGAAUAUCACCAUCUUGUAAGACAAAGAGCCCACCAUUGAACAGUGUCUCACUGUUGAACUUGUCCCACCAUUGGACAAAUGUUCUACAGAGUUUCAUGUUCAGUAUUCCAUCGUUGUGUAUUUUUCUAAAUCACGUUGCCUUUUGCGAUGAACUGUCGUCACAUACUUGUGACUAGGUUCAUGCCACCAAUGCAUGCAUGAAUGUCAUCAUCUUAGUUACAAAAUAUAUCACUCAACCAGAAUGUCCAAAACCAAAUUGGUUUAGACACAAAUUCAUCACCUCGAAUAACCACAAAAUGUCAAGCACAACCAUUAUAACAACAUGUCAUAUAACGUUUAUUUUUCACAAUUUGAACAUGUCAAAUGCAACCAUUAUAACAACGAAUCAUAUAACAUUUAUUUUGAAGAUAAAACACAAACAUAACCAAUACAUAACAUCACCGUUCAUUUAUAUCACAUAUAAUUCACGUAGGAAAGCGAAUGAGGUGAGACCCUUACCGUUAUGAGUCUCGUUAUUAAGAUUUCUAAGUAGCUGUAUUUGCUCCAAAAACAUUACACCUUCACAAAUUAAUUUACUAUCCACUUGUAAUGUGUUCUUUCAACAUUUGUAGUGCCCACAUGAAGUUGUCAGCAUGCUCAAACUUUAGAUAUGAAAAUGCCACACAAAAUGUCAUUUCAGUAGAAGUAACACAAAUAAUCUCAAGUAACGACAUUCGAUAUCUACAAGUCUUGUAUGUGUUAUCCUUAAUCAAUAUUAUGUGAAAAUUAUUUACACGAGUGAUAACAUUUGGAUAGGUCCAGGAUAUGUCCCUCAACUCAUCUAAAUCAUCAACGUAUUUGUCGCGUUCCAUCAAUGUCAUUAGAUAUUGGAUUUAUGUUCUAUUACCUCUAAGUGAUGAACGAUAUGUUUGAUGUGCAUUGUAAACUUGUUUGAUUGACAUUAAAGUUUCAAUAUUAUGAUCAUUUAAUGUGAUCAAUAUCAUGAUACUUAAUUGAGAUCACGUAUACAUGAAUUGUGAUCAUGUAUGUGUACCUUGUAACAUCCCACUUUUUCAAGAUAUUAACUAACAAAAUUCUAAACGUAAAGAUACAUAUUCUUUUAUUUAUUUAUUUAUUUAUUUAUUUAUAAGAUUAUCUUAAAUACUCGUUUACUUUAAAACCAAUUAAUAAAUUUUUCAAUUGUAUUUCAAAAAUAAUGAAUUAGAGCAUUUGCAAUUACAAAAUAAGGUUAAUAUGUUGGAGGGCUAUUAGGUAAUUUCUAGAUAAGAAUAAAAAUGAUGAUGUGGGUAAUCAUUAAAAUUAUUGUUGUUGGAAGAGCAGUAUUCCUAUGAGAACGGCGUGAAUCAAAGCAGAGCAGUAUGCCUUAUAUAGUAUCAAAUUAAUAUUAUAGAAUUAAAUACCUAUUGUUAUUAUUAUUGUUAUUGUAUAAUUAAAUUUUAUAAUGUGAAUUGAAUUUUAAAUUUAUUAAUCUUAAAUUUAUUAAUCUUAAUUUAAGCAUAGCAUGUAUAUUUUCAGAAUUAAGACAGUCAAAUCUCUAUACCUUCCUUCACGCUGAAGAAUAUGAGUGGGCGAUGAGUAGUAUAUAUACAUAGUUAUCCAUAAGCUUUUUACACUCAAUACACUAAACACAUUACUGUUGAAAAAAGUGGCUCCUCCUUCAUACACUGUUCAUGUCAGCACCGAUGCAAAAUUUGUUGAUGCCUUUGACCGACUUGUUCGAAGUGGGAUAAAACCCAAAGUUUGGUUCGUUGUUGGAAGAGAAAUCAGCUCUGCUUGUUACGACUACAUGUUUGAGCUGAUUGAAAACAACAAUGUGGACAAGGAUCGUAGAGAUAGGAUUGCUAAUCCACGUCCUGAGCAUCGCCCACGUCAACCUCCCAAUCCACUUCCAAUCAUAACAGUGCACAACAGGGAGGAGUUGUCCGAUGUCAUCUUAAGCAAUGGUGCUUACUUCAAGGCACAAGUUCCUCAUGGUGUUGCCGAUCGCAAGACCACUCAAUUGAAGUAACAAUGUCGAUUUACAAGAAAGGGGGGUUUGAAUUGUAAAUAUGCCUUUUAAAAAUUCCUAUUAAAACUUAAGAAAAUAACUCAAGAAUGAUCUUGGUUAUGAAACAGAAAACGGAGAACGUUCUUGGUUUAUGUUAUAAAACAGAGAACGUUCUUUAAUUAGCAGAAAAUCAGUUUAUAUUUUAUCUCAAAUGAUUAAUGCAGUAUAAUAAAGAAGGAGAAAGGAAAGAGAAUACCACACAAAGAUUUAUCCUGGUUCACCCAACGUGGGUUACGUCCAGUCCUCACACUGUGAGAUUUUCCACUUAGUGUUUAAAAUGAAGAACCUUCUUAAUCUUACAACACCUAGAAUAAAUCAACCUUGAUCUAUUUCUUUCUUAAUUACUUUCCACCCAGAAAGCAAUCACAACACCUAUCUAACCUUGAUAGGAAGCAAUCUUAAACAAACUAUAAAGAAACUCUUAUAGUUUGAGUUUUUACAAAUGAUUGAAUUUGACAGAAUCUGAUAUUGCUCAACUCUUGUUUGAGAAUAGAUUCUUUACAGAGUAUCUAAUGACAAUUUCGCAGCUAAUAUGUGAAUGUGCAGCAGUGGCUGUUUCGCGAAUUGCAGAAAGUGAUGUUACCUCUGUUUUGCAGAAUUUCAAGCUUAAGUGUGAUUGUAUAAUGUUGAUUACUUGGCACUUGAAUUUCUUGCUGAGAACUGAGAUAAUGGCCUUCUAUUUAUAGGCUGGAGAUGUACGAAAUAGCUGUUGGAGAGGCCAUGCUUUUUUGACUAAAACAUUAUUUUUAGAAUAAAAAUAAUGCUGCUUUGAAAACAGCUUUUUGACUUUUGAUGUUUUAGCAUUGAAAGCAUUUCUGUCCUUUCUUUGACAUUUCUUCAUUGAUCUUGGAUGGUACAUUAUUUGUCUUGAGUCUUGAGUGAAGCUAGAGGAGGUUGGAGAAGAUUUGAAUCGAAUUGCAGACUGAAACAGAGAGGAUGCAAGGCUGCUGUUGAUGUGCAGAAAACGGAGAAUGAUUAACGUUCUUGGUUUUAUCAGUUUGAACGUUCUUGAGCUUCAAUAAUCAUUCUGGAGUUCCCGUUUUGAAUGUUCUGUAUUUCCUUUGUUCUUGUCUUGUCAUAUACCCAGUUUGAUCAAGUUUUCUUGACAUUUGAAUUUUGGAGUUCUUAAGCCGUCAUGACUUUUGUCCAUGUUUAAACUCUUUGAUCUUUGCGAUCAAAUAUCCUUUUUGAGUCUGGAUUAUUUGUACUUGUUCCUUGCCAUGUACUUGUUAGAUAUGAAUGAUUUCCAGAGCAGAUUCUUUGUUAACGAUGUAGAUAAACUUUGAACAACAUGCUGUGAUAGAUAGUUCGGUGAAGCUGAAGAUCAUUCUCUGUUUAUGAUGCAGAAUGAUCUUGUUGUUGUCUUUUCUUGUAUUUGCUUGAUUCUGCUCUUAAUUAAAAUCACUCAAGAACACAAGUUAAAUUAACAUAAUAUUUAGAAUCAUAAUUAACAUUCUUAAUUAACCUUUGUUUAUUUUCAUCAAAACUUUAAAAUAGAGAGUUUGUCUCAACAUCAAUCUCGCCAUCAUGAAGCGUGACAUUUCGAUAAUGAAUACUAUAUAAAUGAGAUAACCCUUAAACAUAUUGUCUUAAAAUGUGAUGUUCAACCCACGUAUGUGAUUGCUCUUAGUCCAGUAUGUGAUUUCUCUUAGUCCAAUGUGAUGAUCCCCAACCCCUUAUGACCAACACAGAUGAAUAAAAGGAGCACAAAGAACCCAUCCACUUUUUAUUAAUCCUUAAUGUAAUUUGACAGGGCAUUUAAAAGUUCAUCAACAAAAUUAAAACAACUCACAAACAUAAAACAAGCAGCAUUGAAAAAGUUUACAAAUUAUAAAACAAAUAAUUUAAACAAACAAGAUGUAGGCACAUGUGAGAAUGUAAACUAAUCAGAAGACUUUUGGGACAUUUUUUUAGAUCCUUGGAAACUUGGUCCAUGGUUGGGCGAGAAGACUUCUACGGCCAAACACUUGGUGUUUUACUACCAAAAAAUAAAUCGUAGUUGAUCAUAACUUUGGACACUUGUGGAAAACUCACUCAACAAGUCUAACACUAGUACAAAAGUAUUUUGGAGCCUCCAAAUUCAUGUUAUUGUACUUCCUCGCAUUUCUCAUACUAGGUUGGUCUGCGACAUUAUUCACUCAAGUAACACUAUAUGUGACAUCAUGUCAAAUGUAAGGGUCGUCUCCAAAUUACAAACACAGAGCAAAUAUACAUGCAUAUAUAGUUGUUAUAGUAAAAAUAUAAAUAAAUCAUAUAUUUCAUUUAAUAGUUAAAAUCACAAAGCACAAAAGAUACAAAUCAACCAAAAUGCACAAAUCCUAUUGUUGGGCUAUAUGUCAAUGCAUUAUUCCAGAAUAUCACCAUCUUGUAAGACAAAGAGCCCACCAUUGAACAAUGUCUCACUGUUGAACUUGUCCCACCAUUGGACAAAUGUUCUACAGAGUUUCAUGUUCAGUAUCCCAUCGUUGAGUAUUUUUCUGAAUCACGUUGCCUUUUGCUAUGAACUGUCGUCACAUACUUGUGACUAGGUUCAUGCCACCAAUGCAUGCAUGAAUGUCAUCAUCUUAGUUACAAAAUAUAUCACUCAACCAGAAUGUCCAAAACCAAAUUGGUUUAGACACAAAGUCAUCACCUCGAAUAACCACAACAUGUCAAGCACAACCAUUAUAACAACAUGUCAUAUAACGUUUAUUUUUCACAAUUUGAACAUGUCAAACGCAACCAUUAUAACAACGUAUCAUAUAACAUUUAUUUUGAAGAUAAAACACAAACAUAACCAAUACAUAACAUCACCGUUCAUUUAUAUCACAUAUAAUUCAAGUAGGAAAGCGAAUGAGGUGAGACCCUUACCGUUAUGAGUCUCGUUAUUAAGAUUUCUAAGUAGCUGUAUUUGCUCCAAAAACAUUACACCUUCACAAAUUAAUUUACUAUCCACUAAUUGUCAAAACCUAUCUGUCCCUGAUUUAUAUUAAAGGUUUGAUGUUGGCUUAAGGGUUUAGGACAAACCAUUUCUUUAUAUUUUUAAAGAUACCAAUUCUCUCAAAUUAAAAUAUAAGUUAAUUAACAUCAAACAAUGUAAAAUAUAAUAUGAUAAUACUAAUUAAUAAUCGGGGAAAGAGUGAGUAAUAUUAUUUUGAUAAAUAAAAACUACAGACACCCAAUUUUUUCUAUUUCUAAUUAAUCACUUACAAAAUUAUAAUUAAUUCAAUUAAAUAAAUUAUUAAUUUAAAUAAUAUUUAAAAUUAUAAUUAAUCACUAUUUUUAUUAUAAAUUAAUUAAAUAUAUAUUCAACUAAACUAAAAAAACCCUAAAAAAAUUAUUAUGAAAACUAUAUGAAAGUAGGUUUUUCAUGACAAAUGAUGUAGCUAAGGGUUAUUAUUAUGAGAACGGCGUGAAUCAAAGCAGAGAAGUAUUCCUUAUAUAGUAUCAAAUUAAUAUUAUAGACGUUAAAAGCAUGUUGGAGGGCUAUUAGGUAAUUUCUAGAUAAGAAUAUAAAUGAUGAUGUGGGUAAUCAUUAAGAUUAUUGUUGUUGGAAGAGCAGUAUUCCUAUGAGAACACCGUGAAUCAAAGCAAAGCAGAAUGCCUUAUAUAGUAUCAAAUUAAUAUUUUAGAAUUAAAUACCUAUUGCUAUUAUUAUUGUUAUUAUAUAAUUAAAUUUUAUAAUGUGAAUUGAAUUUUAAAUUUAUUAAUCUUAAUUUAAGCCUAGCAUGUAUAUUUUCAGAAUUAAGACAGACAAAUCUCUAUACCUUCCUUCACGCGGAAGAAUAUGAGUGGGUCAUGAGUAGUAUAUAUACAUAGUUAUUCAUAAGUUUUUUACACUCAAUACACUAAACACAUUACUGCUGAAAAAAAUGGCUCCUCCUUCAUACACUGCUCAUGUCAGCACUUAUGCAAAAUUUGUUGAUGUCUUUGACCGACUUAGUUCAAAGUGGGAUAAAACCCAAAGUUAGGUUCGUUGUUGGAAGAGAAAUCAACUUUGUUUGUUACGACUACAUGUUUGAGCUGAUUGAAAACAACAAUGUGGACAAGGAUCGUAGAGAUAGGAUUGCUAAUCCACGUCCUGAGCAUCGCCCACGUCAACCUCCCAAUCCACUUCCAAUCAUAACAGUGCACAACAGGGAGGAGUUGUCCGAUGUCAUCUUAAGCAAUGGUGCUUACUUCAAGGCGCAAGUUCCUCAUGGUGUUGCCGAUCGCCGACCACUCAUUCUCGCCAUCAUGAAGCGUGACAUUGCGAUAAUGAAUAUUAUAUAAAUGAGAUAACCCUUAAACAUAUUGUCUUAAAAUGUGAUGUUCAAUCCACAUAUGUGAUUGCUCUUAGUCCAAUGUGAUGAUUCCCAACCCCUUAUGACCAACACAAAUGAAUAAAAGGAGCACAAAGAACUCAUCUACUUUUUAUUAAUCCUUAAUGUAAUUUGACAGGGCAUUUAAAAGUUCAUCAACAAAAUUAAAACAACUCACAAACAUAAAACAAGCAGCAUUGAAAAAGUUUACAAAUUAUAAAACAAAUAAUUUAAACAAACAAGAUGAAGGCACAUGUGAGAAUGUCAACUAAUCAGAAGACUUUUGGGACAUUUUUUUAGAUCUUUGGAAACUUGGUCCAUGGUUGGGCGAGAACGUGGACUUUCAGUCACACAAGAAGCUACAAUCCUUAUAAUCGAUACUAAAUCAUUAACAAUUGGAUUUAAAGGAGGAGGUAGUCGUUCGUCAAACUUAUCCAUCAAUGACUUAGUACCAGUUGUUGAGCUCACUGUAGUCCAUAAAGAUGAUAACAUUGAAUAAGAUGUAACAUCUCCCGGGUGUUUUCCAAAAAGUAUUUUCAAUGCAAAAAUUCCAAAACUAUACACAUCACAUUUUUCAUUAACUUCCAUUGUGUAUGCCAAUUCUGUAACAAUUCAAAAGAGGAAUCAUGUAUAUAAUUAAUAAUGAAGUAUAUAUGUUCCAAAUUGAUAAUAAGGAAAGGGAAUUAACCUGGAGCAGCAUAUCCAAAGGUUUUAGCAUAUGUGGUCCUAUUGGUUGAAUUAGGAUUAAGAAGCUUAGAUGUCCCAAAGGUAGAGACAUGAGCCACAUAUUCCAAAUCCAACAAAACCUUCUUGCUCGAUAUAUCUUGAUGAACAAUUGGAGGUGAACAAUCGUGGUGCAUGUAGCACAAAGCAUUAGCUACAUCUUUUAUGACAUUCAUCCUCUUACUCCAAUCCAAUGCAAUUGUUUGUUCCUCAUCUUUCAAAAUCUUAUCCACACUACUUUUAUCCAAAAAUGAGAAUCUAGAAUGUGAACAAAACCCGUAGAGCUUGACAAUGUUAGGAUGCCGAAUUUCUAUCAGAGUUUUGAUCUCAUUUGUGAAAGCUUUCAUAGUAGACAUUUCUUCAUUUGGUACUGAAUUCAUUUUUUUGACAACAACAACUUGACCCGUGGGUAAGUCUGCUUUGUAAACACUUCCAUUCCCUCCAACUCCAAUGGGAUAUUUGUCAUCAAACUCUUCUGUGGCAGCAAUAAUGUUCUCAUACACUAUUUUUCCAUCAUAACCCCAUAUUGCAAAUACGUUUUGAGCAUUUGUUUCUGAACCUUGAUAUUCUUUUCUGGUUGAAAUUUGGCAACGAUGAUAUGAGAAUCCAAAAAAUACUAAUGUUAGUAUUAGAAUUCCAACUAUAAGGGGUAAAACUAAUAAUAAGACUUUCUUAAUCUUAUCAUGAGAUUUACUGCUUGUUGUUGUUGGGCAAGGCUCCAAGCCUGAGAUAUUACCACACAUGCCUUUAUUAUUUUCCAACAGCUCAAAUGUAGCAUAGUUGAAAGCUUUCAUGUUUGGAAUUGGACCCUCCAAUUGAUUAAAUGAUAUAUCAACAAAUGAUAAGCUAAUCAUUUGAUUGAAAUUGGAGGGAAUAUGACCAGAGAGAUUAUUAUGUGACAGAUUCAUUUUUUCUAAAUAUUUGAGCAAGCUAAAUGGGGAUGGUAUUGUUCCAUUCAAACAAUUUCCACUAAGAUCAAGAAUUUGAAGAGCUUCGAAUUGACCAAAUUCAACUGGAAUAUUUCCUUCAAAUUUGUUUUGGCUCAAAUUCAAGUUAAAUAACCUUGGCAAAUUUGCAAGUUGUUUUGUGAUUAAGCUAGUUAAAUUAUUUGCUGCAAGCUCUAAGUUAUUGAGUUGCUGCAAUGAUGACAUUUGUGUAGGAACAUUUCCUAAAAGACGGUUGUUACUCAUCACAAGGUUGAUCAACAAAGUUAACUUGCCUAACUCCUCUGGAAUUUUUCCUGUAAGAUGGUUUCAAGACAAGUCGAGUAACUCUAACUUGGUUGCCUCCCCUAGUUCUGGUGGUAUGCCACCAGAUAAGUUAUUGUUGGAGAUAUCAAGGCUUGUGAGGUUGUAGCACUUUCCCCAAUUGGGAGAAAGGUGGCCAUAAAAUUUAUUUUCACUUAAUCCCAUGUAGUCCAAAUUUGGAUAUACACCAAAAUCGUUAGUUAUAUUUCCCGUAAAUUGGUUUUGUUCAAGCCUAACUCUAAUGAGACUAGAACAAUUUUUCAAAUUCAUUGGAACUGGACCUGUGAAGUGAUUAUUCAAUGCAGAAAUUCUUUGCAACAUUCCACCAAUGCGAAUGUUGUGUGGCAACUGGCCAAUGAAAUUAUUAUCAGCUAAUUGCAAAUUUUCCAAAUUGAUAAUCAUGUUCAUUUCAGUAGGAAUGAUGUCAGUUAGUUGAUUUGAGAACAAAAAUAUUUCUCUAAGGUUGUUCAAAUUUUUUAUAGUGGAAGGAAUUGGUCCUGAGAAUUGAUUCUGAGAUAUGUAAAUGGAUUCCAAAUUGACCAAGUUACCUAUGGAAGAUGGGAUUGAGCCAGAGAGUUUGUUAUCUACCAAUUGGAGAGUGGCGAGAGAAUAUAGUUUACCAACUUCAUUUGGAAUUGAACCACUAAAACUAUUUGUAUAAAUAUAAAGAUACAUUAAAUUGCUCAAGUUUCCAAUUGUAGGUGGGAUAUUUCCAGAGAGAAAAUUACUUGACAAAUCAAGUUGGUACAUAUUUGUCAUCAUUCGAUUUCAUGAGGAAUUGAACCAGAAAGAUUAUUGUUUUGAAGCCACAAAAUCGUCAUGUUGACCAACUUCCCAAUUUCCUUAGGAAUGUCUCCUGAGAAUGUGUUAUUAUCAAGUCUUAGAUGCUCUAGAUUGGUCAAGCUUAAAAUUUCUAAUGGAAUAGAUCUAGAAUAGUUAUUGUCAGAAAGGGUGAGUUCUCUCAAGCUUACCAACUCUCCAAUCUCCCGAGGGUUGCCAGAAAUUUGGUUAUGAGCUAAAUUUAGAUAUGACAAGUUAACCAAUUUUCCUAUAGAAAAUGGGAUAGGUCCCGUGACAUUGCAAUAUGUUAGUGAAAGUUUUAUCAAAUUUCUCAAAUUGGAAAGUUGUUUGAGGGCAGGACCAUCGACAAAAACUCCAUUAUGGCCAAUAUCUAAAGUCUCUAACUUAUGCAGCUUCACAAUAUCUUGGGCAUUUAUAGAACCAUUAAAGUUAUUUAGGUUAAUCACAAAGUACUUCAAGCUCUGCAAAUUCCAAAUUUCUUUUGGAAUGUUGCCAGAAAGAUUGUUCUCUGCAAGAUCUAAAUGUGACAACAAUGACAAGUUCUCAAUAGAAAUUGGAAUUGUCCCUUCUAGAUUUGCUUGUGCUAUACUAAGCUCUCUCAAAUUUUUUAAUGCACCUAUUUCUCGAGGAAUGGAACUAUUGAAAAGAUUACCAUCCAAAUAUAAUGUUUGAAGAUUGGACAAAUGUGUUAUUUCAUAUGGAAUUGUUCCUAUGAAAUAAUUGGCGCUAAGAUCAAGAUGAGAGAGUUUGGACAAGACCCCAAUAUUGGGUGGAAUACUUCCAUUCAAGAAGUUGUGACUAAUAUUUAGAGUGAGGAUGUUUGGAAGUAAUGAGAAGUUGAGACUUUCAAGCGUACCUCUUAAUCCUAUGUUGUUGAGAUUUACGUUGGAGACAUGUUUGAACUCAUCACACGUAAUUCCCAACCAGUUGCAUGAAUUGUUGCCUGUCCAUGAAGAUAGCAAAGUUUGGCUUUGGUUGUCAAAUGUUGUUUUCCACUUCAACAAAGCACUUGCUUCUAUGCUUUGUAUAGUUGAAGCACUAAAUGACAUUGUCAAGGCUAUUGUCAAAGCAAAAAACAACAUUACUAGCUUCAUGGACUGAAGCAUUGGAGAAAUGAAAAUCAUGCUUUGUCUAAUACAAUUUGAUAAAAUUGGAAUUGGAUGCAUAAAUGAAGAUACUUUGUGUUUGUAAUUUAGAGACUCGUGUGUUGUGUAGUUUAUGUGGUGUUGUAGAGUAUUUAUAGGUAAGGAACAAUCACUUCUACGAGAACAAGUCUUAAUAAUAUUGUUGUGGAAACUUAAUGAUAUAAUGUGAUAUGUACUAAAAGUGAUUGACUAUUCAAUAGUAAUACCCACUAAGAUAAAUUCUUUAGUAACCUAGUGAUUAUGUGGGGUUAAAGUAUAUACAAUGGAAAAAUAAUUUAAAAUUCAAUUUAUUUAAAAGUUGAUUUUAUAAUUUAAGUUUUAAUUAAUGUUUUACGUAUAAGAUAUUGGUAAUUUUUGGAUACUACAUAAUUUACCUUAAUAAAUAUGAUUUGAUAAUAUUUACAAAUAAAUUUAUAUUAGUUUCCACUUAAAACAAGAAGUAGCUAGUUGGCUAAAACCUCACACAUUUAGAAAAGAUUACUUUUAAUUUUUUAAAGUACUAUCACUACUUGUUUUAGUGUUUAGUUUUUAUAAAUAAAAAAUUAUUUAAUUACCGUUACAUUUUAAAUUAUAUAUUUUAAUAAAAAUCACUUUUUUCAUAAAAGAGUAUGUACUUUUUUUUUGGUUGCAUUGUAAACAUAUUAUAUAUAUCAUAUAUAAAAGUUUUUUUUACUAAUAAAAGAGUAUGUACUCAUGUUAGUGAAAAUAUGUACGUACUAGUAUCCACUAUGAAAAUCCACACACACAUAGUUCUUUAAUUCUCAUGCAAUAUACUAAAAGAUUAUUGGUCUUUUAUUUUCAUGCCGUAGCGUCCAACGGCUUUUUCACCGAACAUUAAUUAGCAUGAAGAGAAACGAUAUAUAUAUAUAUAAUAGAAAAUAGUACACAAUACCAUGGAGGCAGGCACGAGGGUGUGCUAGACUUAGACAUGUUGCCUUAUAUAUAUGGCUUCAAAUUUUUAGGAGCAUGGUUUUUAGAAAAAUACAUAUUAGUAAAUAUUUAAGAGACUAUUUUUUUAGGUUAAGGUAUCUAACAAACCUGUGGAUGAAUGUUGCCGCUAGAAUUUGAAAUUACUAUAUUUUCAGUUUGAUAUAUAUAUAUAUAUAUAUUGAGUUGUGAGAAGUUAAACUUUUUAUUGAUUAAUAACAAGUUAAAUAUUUGAUAUAUAUGAUAGGUAUUCUAUAUAUGUAAUGUGAGUUUGGAUGAGAUAUUUUUUUGAGAGAAUGUAAUUUUAUAUAGAGUAAUGUUAUUGAAAUACAAUAAUAUUUAUUUUAUGUCAAAUUUUAUGUUUCAAUAAUAUUAUUCUUUUUAAAGGGAAUUCAAAUCUUUCAAUGCAAAUGAUUUUGUUUGAAUAAUAAAUUUGAAGAAUUUUCAAGAUAAAGGGAUUUAAUAAGCUAUUUUAUUAAAGUUAAAUUUAGAUAAUUUGAAAUACCACAUAAAACCAAAGAAUUUAAAAUUCCCUCUUAAUUUUACAAAAUAUAAAUCAUAACAUGGUCUCUAUAAUUUUUUAAAUUUACAAUUUUGACCCUAUAUGUUUCAAAUUUUAAUACUAGUCCCUAUAUUUUUUUUGCAAAGUGGUUUCUAAAUAUUUUUCCAAAGUUUGUAAAUUGGUCCCUAAAAAUUUGCAAAAUAGUCCCUCAACUUUUUUAAAAUUUCAGUUUUUACUCAAAUUAAAUUUUCAUUUUUGCCUCAAAACUUUUAAAAAUUUUAAAAUAACUCAAAGAACAAAAUUUAGAAAUAAAGGAAAUUCCAAUGAAGCAUUUGAAUUGCUUAAAAUUUUAAUUUUCAUAGAAUUUUCAAUUACUCUAUCCAAAUACACUUAAGAAUUUUGGAUAGAGAUACGGUACCAAAUCUUUUGUGAAAAUUGAAAUAUUUAAUUUAUUAUGGCUCUCACACUCCUCCAAAUUUUCCAAUAAUAUAUAUAACUAAUUUUGCUAUUAACUUUGUCCCCAUAUGUAACAUUUCUUUAAUAAAUGCACAAAAAUUAAGAAAAGUAUAAAUCUAUUGUAGUUUCCAUUUGAUAUGAAAUUUUUUAAAUUCUUAAUUAUGUAAUCUUUAACUUUUAUAUAUGCUGAGUAAAAAAAAAAAACUUUAUGUUAAAAACUAUUUAUAUUUAAAUUUGAUCACCCAUAAAUGUGAUUUAUAACAAGAUAUAACACUAAAUUAAUAACUCGCAGAAAACAAAGUGGUAUUACUGAAUAAAUCAAUAUUGUGAAAUUAUAUUUUAUGUGAAGUCUACAAAGUGGAGUCAAGACGCCAAUGAUUUGCCAAAUCAACCAUAUAUCCUAACCCAAAAUAUAUUGCAACGACUCAUGCAAUUCUUUUUAAUUAGUUUUGGAAUUUUUUACAAGUCUAUCGGGUGUGGUUAGCAAAGUCAUAUAAUUGUCUAUGGACGCGAGGACAAGAAAUGACACGUUGACAAAAACACUUUUGUUAGGGAUAAUUUAGUUUUGUUGGAAUAAUCAAAUUGAUAUUGUUUAAAACAGUUACUAGUGAGUGAUAAUUAUUUGUUUAUUAGUUAUAAUACUCGUCUUAACUAGGAUCAUUAAAUAAAGUGCAUUUAUACACACCAACUAUAAUCAAUUUUAUUUAUGUAUGUGAACUCAUUUGUAGAAGUUUACAAAUUAUAAAACAAAGAAUGUAAACAAACAAAGAUGUAAACUUACUCUAAAAUAAUAGAAGUUAUUUUGAACUCUUUUGUUAUAAAUUUGAAAAGUAAUUUUGAUAUUUAUAUAUUCAUUGUUAGAAAUUUUAAUAUAAUCAGCACAUAUUUUUUAAAGAUGUCUCUCAAAAUUAAUUUAUAUAAGAAACUACUUAAAAUAGUUUAUUUUUUAAAACAUUUUUUGAAAUUUCAUCUAAAAAAAAUAUUAUAACAAAAAAAUAACUAUUUAAACAAUUUCAUUUAAAACUUUGUUUUUACAAAAUGAUUUUGUUUUAUAAAAAAAAACUAUAACACAUGGGUCCGAUCAAUCUUAAUUUCUGGUAUCAAUUUUCUGCAAAGUCCACGAAGUUGGAGUCAAGAUACCAUAGAUCUGGCAACUCAUCAACUCAUUAUAACCCAAAAUGUAUUGCAACAACUCAUCUGAAAUUUUUUUUAAUUAAAAAUAAUAUUCAUUCAAUCAAAUCAAAUUGAAAGAUAUUACAUCGAAUAACAAUAUAAUUUAGAAAUAUUAAAAAUAAAAAAGAGACGAAUAAACAUACAACAUCCAACUUAAUAGCAUUAAAAUAUAAAAUACCUAUAAAUCUGACAAAAUUUAUAAAUAUGACAUAAUUAAGAUAUUGAAAUAAUCAUGUUUUUGAAACUGCAACAUUGAAGAUAAUAAAGUAAUUGAUUGAAUUUGUACAUAUGAAAGUUAAUCUCUCAAUUUAAUACUAAAUAUGUAUAAUAACCAUUUAUUUCUUAAAAGAAAAUGAAAAAAGCAAUUUAAAGAAAUAAUUUUGAAUCAAAAAUUGUUGUUAAAUAACUUCUUUUAUGUGAAUAAAAAAAAGUAGAAUAAAAGAGAUUGGGAAGAGAGUCGUCUAGGUUUUACGCACUACGACUCACACAAAUUGGUCUAAUAAGAUAUUCUUAUAUUGUUAAUUUGUACUAUCUCUUCACUUAGCUUUCUUGUCCCCUUCUUCAUCCUUGGCUAACUUAUCUUUUCUGUUAUUUACUAUGAAUUUAAUUUUUAUAUAUUGUGAAUGUAAAUAUUUUUUAUAUAGUCAAUUAUAUAAGUAAUUUAUGAUAAAAGUUAAAUAUUAUUAAUAAUUUAAUAAUUAUAAUUAAUUGAUAUUGUAAAUUUUUUUCAUUAACAUUGUAUAUAAAUUAAAUUUAUUUAUUAAUUAAUACUAUAUAUGAGUUUAAUUAUCGUGUAUUUUCAAUGUAUAAAAUUUCACACUGUCAAACAUAUUACAAUAAUGCAUAUGCAUGAUUAUAAACUAAUAAAAGUAAAAGUUAAAUAUUUUUAAUAAUUGUCGUUAACAUAUAAGAUGCUUACUUACCUGUGUAUAUGAAUUAAAUGCUAAAUGUGUGCUAGUAUUUACUUAAUAAUCUGGUUAAUAGUCUGGGUGUGAAUGUCUAGUUCUUCUCUUGAACAAAUUUAUUUGCACGUGUAUUUUCUUUGAUGCCUAGAUUAGCUUACUCAUUAGUAUUAGGAUACAAUAAAAAUUGGAUUUUGUGGAAAAAAUGUAAUACGAAAAAAAAAAUAUCACUAAAUGUUUUAUUCUUCAAUGUACGAAAUUAUUAUUAAUUUAAAGUGUUUGGUGACAUCAACGUCUAAACAAACUAAAAAAAAUAUAAAAUAACAUAAUAAAAAUAUUUUUAUUAAAAUUUCCGUCAAUUUUUAUUAAUUACAAUAACUAGGCAAAAAUUGAAAAAUAAAAUAAAACGCUAUAAGUUGGAAAUUCAAAAACUACUUGUAAAAAGUUUUAAAAACUCAAUUGAAAACCUUUUUAUGACAUUUUUAGUAAAGCUUUUCUCCUAAUUAAUCUCUAAGAACUCGUGAGCUAUACUAAUUUUAAAUAAAUAAAUAAAAAAACAACAGUUAAAAUGAGGUAUACUAGCCGUUAGGAUUGGAGCUAUACUAAUUUUCUCCUAAUUAUUCAUUGUAUUUCCAAAAUUUCAUACAAGUUGUUAUCAAAAUCAGUUAUAGUCAUGACUAACACAGACUUAACCAAAAAAACUAACUAAACAAAUAAGUUGGGCUACUCACUAUAGACUGAGUUACAAGGCCCAGCAAAUUCUAAUUAAUGAAAAUUUUCUCUUGUACCCACUCAUUUAUCCCUAUACCCCCAAAAGUAAAGGAAAAAUACUAAAAUACCCUCAUAUAUAUAAAUAUUUUUUUUUUAAUUUCUUCAUUUAACAUUUCUGGAAAACUUCUUUCAAGUUUUCCGGUACACAACUUUCAUUCCGGAAAACUUGAAAAAAGUUUUCCAGAACAUAACAUCAUUUCCGGAAAACUUGAAAAAAGUUUUCCGGUACAGACAUCAUUUCCGGAAAACUUCAACGUAACAUUUCCGAAAACCACUGAAAAACUUCAUCCACAUGUUUUCUGGUAGUUGUUUGAUUGUUUUUUAAAAAUAUUUUUAAAAAUAAUUUUUUUUAUUAUAUUAGUAUUUAUUUGAUUUUAACUAAUUUACAAAUCUUGUUAUGGAAAGGAGUAUUAAUCAUUGAUUAUGGUGUAUUAAUUAUGAAUUAUUAUAGUAUAUUAAUAGUGUAUUAAUUAUUGAAUGGUGUAUAAAUUAUUAAUUAUUUAUGGUAUAUUUAUGUGUGUUAAUUAAUAUUUAUGAUGCAUUAAUUAUUGACUAAUGUAUUAUCAUUUAUAAAAAUAAUAAAAUAAAAUAAAAUAAAAAAUUUAAAUGGUGUGUAUCAGAAAUCUUUAGAAUGAAGUUUUCCGGUAGUACAAUUUUUCACUUCUGUAUCGGAAAUCUUUUUUUAAAAGUUUUCCGGUAACAACUUUCUGUACCGGAAAACUUGAAAAAAGUUUUCCGGAAAUAAGGGGUGUUCCGGAAAAAAUGAAAAUAUAAAAAAAAAAAAAAAAAAAAAAAAUCUUUGAAUUAAUAAAAACAUAAUUGUCAUUUUUAAAAAAUUAUGAGGGUAUAGGUAUAAAAAUGGGGGUAGAGGGGGAAUUUUUCCUAAUUAAUUAUAGUAGGCCCAACACUAGCUACUUCCAUUGAUCACAUAAGAACAAUUCUUCAUGCGCAAGUGUUGUUCUUCUUCUUUGACUUUUUUACAAUCUUCUUCAUAUGUAUUGUUAGCUUAUGGCUUAGAUCAUUACAUAAGAAGUUGGUUUGAGUUUGUUGCUUUUGAACUUUCACAAGAUCAAUUAUUGCUUAUAACUGAAUUCAAUGAAAUACCAAAAAAAUUCCACAACAAUUUGAACUCCAUCCAUUUAUCAUCAAAAUUAUGCAUUCUUUUUGUAAAAUUACUCUAAUCAAUUUGACAAGAAACUCUAAAAUAUUGGCAUCAUAUGAAUCAAUUGACCCAAACCAAAAUAUGCAAAACAAAGUCCAGCCAGCACACUACAACACCAAGUACUAGGUAUUAUUACAUGUUUGUCUGAAACAUCAUAUGGAACACCAACAUAAAACAAACACAAAGUAAUAGCUAUCCUAAAUAUAAACUAAGACUAGAACCUAAUUUUAAUUUUAAAGAUUCCUAGUGAAAAUUGAUCUCAUUCUUUUUUUAUAAAUCACAUCAAUAUUUUUAAAGUUAAUAAAGUAAGACUUUAGCAUGGUCAUAAAAAAAUUAAAAAAAUACUACAAUUUAGUCCUUAAAUCUCAAAUAUUGAUUAAGCUGGUUAAUAUUAUUAUAAUUUACUUAAAAGUUAUAAAAAAAAGGGUGGAUUUGACUCAUAAAAAAUUCUUCAAAACUAAUGUUUUUAUUUUUCAAGAAUCAAUUAGAUAUAACUUAAAAGUCAUUGAUUAAAUCAUACAAAUAACAAUCAUUUUUUAAUGCAACGGUACAAAAUUUAAUUAUGUAAAAUUUUAAAAACAUUCUUUAAAGCAUAUUUGAGACUAGAAUUUUUUAAAAGAAUUAUUUUUAUGAAGAAAAUAUGCCGUCUAAACUCAAUUCUUGAAGCAAACUUGAUUAUGUUUUUACUUGUUGUUAUAGCCUCAAAAUAUUGGUAGUGAUUUACUAUAAAUUAUAACAAUCCAAUAACAAGGAAUUUGCUGCAUAAAUUCUGUAGGUAAAACAACCCAGCAGCCAAAUAAUUAACAUUUAACAAUACAUCACACAAAGGUCCUCUUGUUCCAACUAAUCAAAUAAUUUCAUGUAUUAUGGUUGUAGUUCCUUUACUAGUUAAGUAUAGGUGCACAUCAAAAGUAUUUAAUUAAUAAUCGAGUUUGUUGACGUAUCGUGUAUGCAAUUGUCAAAAUCUUAUAUUUUUUUAUCAAAAUAUUUGAUUGAGGAGAACAUUUAAAGGAUAACAAAAUAUCUUGAUCAAAAUUAAAAUAUUAAAAGAAAAAAAAAACCUUGGACCAAAAAAACCUUAAUUAUGUCUAGAUUAAUUAGAGAAUUGUGCCUCAAUUGUACACUUAAGUCGAACAAACUAGGUUGUUAUUUAAACACCUUUCAUGUGCACCUAUGCACAACAAGCCCAAUCAUCACAAUUAUUGGGCCUCCUUUUAAACUAAUGGGGAGAAACAUAUUCAAUGAAAGGUGACCACGCUUUCAUUAUCAUUUUUCAUUCGGUUUAUAUGUUUAUUCAUUUGUAAAGCUUUCUACUCAUUCCUUAAUUAAUAGUAGUAUAAUAAUAAAUUUAAGUAAAAUUAAUCUUUAAUAGACUAAAAUAUUUGACAUACAUCAAAUAUUUAUAUUGGUUUUAUCCAUACAAAACUAUAAUAACGGUGUUCUCAAAAGUAAUGGAUGAACUAAUGUGAAAACUACUUUCACAUAUGAACUAUUUUUUUAACUUAAUUUUCAGAUAAAUUUCUUUUGUAAUAAUUUUAACAUUAUAAUAUAACUUCUUUUCAGGGUUUAUGUUUUCAAUCUCACCUAUUUAAUUUAAUUUGAAUAAAAUUCAAUCUUUAUUUAUACAAAAUUUAUUUAAUAUACUAGAGUUUUAUGGUACAUUCGCAUAUUAAAAAAAAUUAAUAUAUUUAUUUUAUAAAUCAAUAAAUUAACGAUUAUUUUUAUAGGUGAAAGAGUUAUUUAUUACUUUUAUAUUUUAAAAAAAUAUCAUUUCGUUGUUUAUAACAUUAUAUUAAUUUUUUACAUUUUAUUGUAAAAAUAUUCGAUAUUCACUGUUAUGAAUAAUAAAAAUUCAAAACAAUUAAUUUAUUUUACUGAAGCUUUCAAUAAAUAUUUAACAAUUAAUUCAGUAAUUAAGUAUACUAAUAUACGUCAAAUUGAUUUACCGUACAAAUAACGUGUCUCUCUAUUUCUCUAUUUCUUUUUUAUUGUUUGAGUCAUGUGUUGUUGAGUCAUGUUUAUGGGUUAAUAUGUAUGGGUGUCAUGUAAGCAUCUGUUAUUAGUUAUUAAUAUAAUGUUUAAAUAUUGUGUUUAAACUUGUUUGGUAAGCCUAAGAGUUCAGCUUACAAGCCUAAGAGUUCAGCUUCUCUGUAAGCUGAACUCUUAGGCUUACCAAACAAGUUUAAACACAAUAUUUAAACAUUAUAUUAAUAACUAAUAACAGAUGCUUACAUGACACCCAUACAUAUUAACCCAUAAACAUGACUCAACAACACAUGACUCAAACAAUAAAAAAGAAAUAGAGAGACACGUUAUUUUUCCACACUAGACUCCAUGGCUACACUAACUCAUAAAACUCAAACAAUAAAAAAGAAACAGAUACUUCAUCAUUUUCACUAUGCUUCAACGAAUCGGGACAAGCGCAAUGCGACGCUUCAUGAUGGCGAGAAUGAGUUGUCGGCGACCGGCAACACCACGAGGAACUUUUGCCUUAAAGUAAGCCCCAUUUCUUAAAAUGGCAUCCGACAGCUCCUCCCUGCUGUUCAUCGUUAUGAUCGGAAGUGGGUGGGGAGGUUCACGUCGGCGAUGCUCACGACGGGAGUUAGCGAUCUGGUCACUGCGUUCCUUGUCGAGGUUGUUGUUUUCGAUCAACUCAGACAUGUAUUCGUAACAAGUAGGGGUGAUUUCUCUUCCAACAAUGAACUUCACUUUCGGUUUUAUCUCACUUCCAACCAGCCGCUCAAAGACAUUAAGAAAUUUUGAAUAACAUGAGAAAUGUAGAAAGGAGAAGCCAUUUUUUUCAGGACGUGGAUUAGCAAUCCGGUCUCUACGAUCCUUGUCCAGAUUGUUGUUUUCAAUCAGCUCAAACAUGUAGUCGUAACCAGCAGAGCUGAUUUUUCUUCCAACAACGAACCUAACUUUGGGUUUUAUCCCAUUUCCAACAAGUCGCUCAAAGGCAUUCCCAAAUUUUGUAUCAAUGCCGGCUUUUUACCACCUGGAGCUGUAGUAUGUUUCUUCUCCCCACUAUGAAUGUCAAUAUCCUUCAUUCCUUUCUAAAGUGCUAUUUUUUUCUCCUUUUUUCGAACUUGGUCUCUAAUCCACAAUUUUGGCUACAAAAGUACAAUGAGUUUGUGAGAAUAGCUGGUAUAUAGUGUUAUAUUGCAGUGGUAGUUGAUUAUGACCUGCAAACCAAAGACAAAACUCAUGACAUGACUAGGUAGAGAGAGAGAGAAUAACAUAUUACUCCAAUCGUCACAUUAUAAGUGUCAUUAUAAGUGUCAUUUUAGUUCAUGCACACUUCGUAAGAAAAUAAUUAGUUGUGUUGAUUUUUAGAUUAAAAUAAUGGUGAAGACUAAAAUACACAUUAAUUAGAGUGGUUGGAAGUAGUAGUAAUAGUAGAAUAAUUAGGUGAACUAUUUAAUUAAAGAGGGUAUUAUUUCCUAAAGUGACAUAAUUUGAGACGGAGAAAUAUUCCAAACUUGACAUUUAGAAUCACACGGAGGGAAUAGCAGAAUUACCUCCAAAGUCAUUAACAUAUUAUGCAAUUAUUUUCUUCAAACGAUCAGAGUGUAACGAAUUUUCAUGCCGUUUCCUGAAUAACAAAACAAUUCAAAUAGUCAGAAAUUAAAGAAAUAUGUAGCAGACAUUAUUUUAACAACUAAGAUUAGGAAAAAAUAGUAUUAUUUUAAUUCUUUGAUGCACGUGAAAAAAAUAGCUGCUAUUUGACGGCACUUUAUUCAUAAAAAAAAAUAGCAUAUCGUAAAACAAUAACAAUUUGUUUGAAUUCCACUACGAUAUAGAGUCGAUGUAUCCGCUAUUUGACAAAACGAGUAAAACCUGCAGAAGUUUAUUUGAAAUGAAGAAGAUGUUCUUAUUCGACAUAGUGAAAUUAGAUAAAUACCAUAAAAUAGAGAAGCUAUCCAUAAAAGGUACUUACUGGUGAUAAUUUAACAGGAGACUGUGGUCUUGAAUAACCGUCAUCCUUUUUUUCAGUUUUUAAUAUGAAUUCACUUCUUGGUUCUGUUUGCUCUUCUUCACUAUUUACUGCUUUCGGUUUCCCUCUAUUCCUUGAUUCAGGUUUCCAAUUCGCUUUGAUAAGAGAUUGACUUAGUAAGUGAGCAAUGUUUGAAGCCAUUGCCUCAGCUUUCUUAACAAAUGGAAAUUUUUCCUCAUCAAAGUGGUUUGAUAACCACAAAUAUGAAGAUAAAACUUGAUGCCUACUCUCAA